rnacentral:lncRNA from 1 species
AGAUUGGGGAAUCCGUGGCGGAGACCCUGAGCGACUCGAGUCGAAUCACUGGGAGGAGGGGUCUGGGUCUAGCCAACCGUCGUCGUCGAACGGCGAGUUGACCCGGUGGUCGGGACCGAGUCGUCUUCGGGCUGAGGGAACGAGGCCAUGAUGCCACUGAUGAGCGAAAUGCUCCAAGGGCAAAACUCACGCAGGAAGAAUAUCGGCACGCUUUAUGUUAGGCUGGCCGACUCACUGGGCCUUCAUUGGUCCCUGACAAUAUCUGGUCCAAUAUUUGAAUUCACUUCCCUCGAGCCCGCUUCCGCUCCUCAUUCGCUACCCAGAGAUCAAGUUCUCAAGGUUCGAUGUUUCCUCCUGAACUUCUUCCCUCCUGCUCGAUUUGGAUUGGAACGAAAAAGCUCCAACAUGGAUCAAUUUUCUUCCCCUCACGAUUAUUUAUUUCGGUAUUGCAUUCAUAUUGGCUUUUCAUUUUUUAUUAAUUUUUGGUUAUGUGAUUAGUGAUUAUUGUUCGUCAUUUUAUUUUGGGUUUUUCUUUCUGUUGUUUUUAGGGUUUUCUGCUCUGCAAAUUUCGAUCAAAUUGUCUGCAUUUGAAUUAUUUUGUAAUUAUCGUAAUUUAUAUUGGGUGGAAUUGGCCUUUCUAUUCUCCAAAAUCUUUUUUAAGAAUUGCAUUUUGCUUAAAUUUUGCGAGUUCAAAAAAAAAUUGAGACUUUUUCUGAUUUUAAAUUAUUGACACAGUUCCGAAGCACUGUGUGUUAAACAGUGGAAUUUUGAUUUUUGGAAGCAGGGAUUCAUUACCCGGGCAAAGAUGCCAGCAAAUACAGAGAAAGCCCACAACAAGGCAAGUAAACAGGAAAGAAAAUAGAAACAGCGGACAGAAGAGGGAGUUACAAGGAAGACAUAAUAGCCAAGCUAGCAUGUCGCCCCCUCCACUGCGCCCCAAAAAACCUUACAGAGGACAGGGUAAUCCAUCACAAUGGAGCACAAAAACCAGAGAAGAUGCGGGUCUAUUGACCCAUGAAACAUCGCACAUCUCUACACACCGAUGGGACGCCAGAGAGUCCGCCGCCGUAUUGGCUGAUCUUGGAAUCCAAGACCAGCGACAAUCUUGGAAAGACUCUCCUAACCCCUUAGCUUUCACUAAAGAAGGAAAGGCUUCCCAAUUGCCCAUCCUAAGAGAAACCGAAAGAGAGCUAAUAGAAUCUUGGGAGUCAGACUCAACGAUUACCUUUUGAAGUCCCAGAGCUAACCCAAAUUGACAACCCAUAGAAAUGGCCAUUGCUUCAAUAACAUUCACGCAAGGAGCCGUGAUAGAAUGUCUGAUUGCAGCCACAAAGGAUCCAUCAGCAUCCCGCAGAACAAUGCCAACGAAACCAGUUCGCGUUAACGCUGACCAGCUGGCGUCAACGUUAAUUUUAGUGUACUGCAGAGGAGGAGUGGCUUAUCUGGCCUCCAGAGUAGCCACAGUUCGACGGACAGGGAAGUCCGGGUUCCUACGGACAGCUUCGAAAAAAGCACUAGCCGAGUUGGAAAUAGCCCACAGCACCUGAGAGGGAUUGAUAAGGUUGUUAUUAUACACAAAAUUGCACCUGGCUUUCCAAAUGUGCCAGCACGAGAAGGCAACAAACGAAAUGAGGGACAACCUGUCAUCAUUUGGACCGCCAAGGACAUUUGAAGCAGAAAUGAACCACUCCACCCAGUUCGAAACCUCGGUCCUCGCAAUCUUGAGAUUGAGAGCACCACCAAACCAAACGGGUUCCACCCAAGGGCAAAAUAACAAUAAGUGCUCGACGGAUUCUUCCUGAUUAUGACAAAUGGGGCAAUUCGGAUAAGGCAUAGACCGCUUUUUAAACAACUCAGACAUCGUUGGGAAAGCACCAUGGAAGGAUUUCCACAUAAAAUGUUUGAUCUUUGCCUGUACUCUAAGUUUCCAGAUAAGCUUCCAAACCCGGCUUGGGAUAACAAUGGGAGCACGGGAAUGUAAAGCCAUUGGGUGGUUGAAACGGGCAUGCACCCAAUGAUACCCGGUCUUCACCGAAUACUGCCCAUUCUUGGUCCCCGGCCAAAUGAACCGAUCCUCACUCCUCAAAUCACCAAUAAAAGUAUCCCUAAUGGCAUUGAGAUCCUCUGCCGGAAGAAAAGGUUAGAGCGAAUUAAGGUCCCAGGUGCAAGAAUCAGGGCAAAUGAAAGACCUCACCCGAGUAUUCAAGGUAACUGACACCUCACCACCAGGGGUGGGAUUACCCAACGGGAUGGAUGGAAGCCACCUGUCAACCCAUACCCACACUCGCUGCCCAUCCAUGAUUUGCCAGUGGGCCCCCUUCAACAGUAAAUCUCUGCCACCAGUAAGUUGGACCAAACCCAUGAAGCACGACUGCCCUUCUAAGCAUCAAGAAAGGAACAGUUAGGGAAAUACCUGGCUUUAAGAACAGACGCCCAUAAAGAAUUUGGCUCCAUAAUCAACCUCCAGCACUGCUUAACAAGAAGGGCAUCGUUAAAGGAUUUGAAAUUUCUAAAACCUAAACCCCCUGCAGAUUUUGGAAGACCCAUCUCUUUUUUGGAAACCCAUUGAAUUUUCCUCUCCCCAUUUUUCUGACCCCACCAGAACCCAAAAAUCAAAGAGUCUAACUCAUUGCAAAUAGAGUCCGGGAACUUAAAUAAAUUCAUCGAGUAUGCCAGAAUGGCUUGGGCAACAGCCUUAAUCAUCACUUCUUUGCCACCCUGAGAAAGCGUACACUGUUUCCACCCCUGAAUUUUCCCCAACAAACGACCUUUCAAAUAAGCGAGACCACGAGACUUGGAACGGCCCCAAAUGGCAGGGAGACCGAGAUAAGAACUUGGGUGAGUAACCACCGGAAUGCCAAGAUCACACCCAAGAUCAGCCGCCACAUCCAUAGGAGUAUUAACACUGAAGUACACACACGAUUUCUGAAGGUUCACCACCUGACCUGAAGCCGAGCAAUACGUUGCCAAUAAUCUGCUCAAGUUGUUGCAAUUAGCUUUAUCUGCCUUCAAGAAGAUCAAAGUGUCGUCAGCAAAAAAAAUGUGGGAAAUAGGCGGGCUGUGGGUAGACAUUCGAACCCCCUGUAGUUGAUUAGACUGAAUGGCAAUACAAAUCAUUUUGGACAAAACGUCACUUAUCAAAAGAAACAGAUAAGGGGAGAGAGGGUAUCAUUGCCUUAAACCUCUUGAAGGAGCAAAUUUGUUACCGGGUUGCCCAUUGAGAAUAACAGCAAAGUUGACAGAGCACACACAUCCCAUGAUGAGCCGACGCCACACGGGGUGAAACCCCAUCUUCUCCAUAACUGCAUCUAAAAAAUCCCACUCCACCCGGUCGUAAGCUUUGUGCAUAUUGAGCUUGAUACCAAGUUCAAACUUGCUCUUAGUUUUCCUGAGUUUCAGGAAGUGGAAUAACUCAUGAGCAAUCCCAAUAUUGUCCUGGAUCUGUCGGUCCCCAACGAACGCAUUCUGCAUGGGAGAAAUAAGGCUCGGCAAUAAAGGUUUCAAUAUAUUAGUUAAAAUCUUAGAUAAGACUUUAUAGGAAAAAUUACAUAAACUAAUAGGUCUGAAAUGGGAAACAGACUCCGGGUUCAGGAUUUUAGGGAUGAGAACAAUAUGGGUCGCGUUGAGCUGUCGAGGACAAGUUUCACCAUUAGACAAUAAUAAGACAAGAUCAUAAACAUCCUUAGCAAUACAAUCCCAAAAGGAAUGGUAGAACACCCCUUGGAACCCGUUUGGCCUCGCGGCCUUGAAACCACCCAUUUGUCGGGCAGCCAUCCUAAUUUCCUCCUCCGAGAUCGACUUCAAUAAUGAUUGGUUCAUAUCGUCCGUGACAACCUAGCUGAUGCAUUCCAGAGCCUGGCCCCAAUCCCUUGGUCCAGAAGAAGUAAAGAGAUUGAUGAAAUAGUCGUUAACCACUUGGUGCACACGUCGUGGAUUCUCCUCCCAAACCCCGUCUUCCAUCAAGAUUUUCACUACCUUGUUUCUCCGUCGACGUUGUAAAGUAGACUGAUGGAAGAACAAAGUGUUUGCAUCUCCCUCUCGGAGCCAUUUAGUCAUUGAUCGUUGUUUCCAGAAACUUUCCUCUUGUUCCCGUAACAAGUCAACCUCGAUGGUCAACUUCAGAAUUGCCUCCCUAUUUGGUCCCCAGUUCAAUUGUAGUUCCCCUAGCUGGUCCAUUAGAACUGCAAUUGCCUCUGUUCUAUGGUUGAACUUUCUUUUGCUCCAAGAGGUCAGUUUGGAUCGACAAACAUUAAUCCGAGACUGCCACCUUGUGAUAGCGUCCCCAGGGCAUUGGCGGUUCCAACAGGACUCGACAAUACUUCUGCACUCCUAUUCCUUUGCCCACAUUGCUUCAAAACGAAACCUUUUUCUUCCUCUUCUCUGGUUCGGCUCACAACUAAUCAAGAUGGGGCAGUGAUCUGAGCCCACAACCGUGGCGUGAUUGACCAAAGUAUUUGGCCAAGUGUUCUGCCAGAGCUGAUUACAUAAGCCUCUGUCUAUCCUUUCCUCCACCAACUCCCCAUUUCGAAUCCCUCGCCAAGUAAAAGGAGACCCAUUAAAGUCAAGAUCAUUCAACUCUACCUCCUCCAUGAAAUUAGCCAAGUACCGAGGUUGGUUAUAAAGAACCGGAGCCCCACCAGAUUUCUCGGACUCCCAUAAUUGAGAUUGUAGUAAUUGCCGUACAAGUUUAUACUUUUGUGUGGAGAAACCAGCUGGAUUAAUAAUCAUCUUAUUUUGAUCAAAUUUUGCAGUAUAAAUCAUGAUCGCAUAUUUUUGUUUGUAUCAUCUUACUAGAUUUUUUUUUUUUUGAAAACUACCCAUUAGAUUUAGGUUAAUCAUCAUGACAUUGGAAUUCAAGUUUUUGUUUGUAUCAGUGCAUGCUAUUGCUAAUCACCAAAUUAAUUACGUUUGUUGAAAUUUUUGGAAUAAUUAUUUUUUAAAUGCCUGAUUACUUAAACCUCACUGAGAGAAAAUUUUAGGGCGUUGUGCACAGGUAAUUGGAGCUACUGCAACAUUUUAUCAUUGACAUGGUUGGAAUGUGUAGAAAUUUAACGGUGAGGGAGUAAAUUUCUAUUUAAAAUAAUUCAAGUGACAGUGAUCAUAAAAUUCAGUGGCAAAUUGAUAAAGUAGUCUUGAACUAAAUUAACCAUCUACUUAGAGAUACAUCAAACAUCUGCAUGCACAUUUAUUCCUAAUAUUGUGGAAUUUGGCAAAGCAUAUUCAUUGUGGUGUAUUUGGCAAAACUUGAGUCUCUUUGUCUGUUCCGAUAUGAUAAUGCGAUUUUAAGUUAGGCAUUAGCCAUGAUUUCAUUUGCGCAAUUACGAAAUAUCAAAAAGUACCCUCUCUGCUAAGGAUAAUACACUCCUGCGGGAACUGGACAUCCCAAUAUUUUGCAAUCUGAUUACAAAUUAUCUACCAAAAGUACAUACCGCUAUCAAUUAUAUGAUAUUUUUAGAUCAUGGUCCACUAAAAAGUAUUAAACGUGUUAUGAAUAGAAACGCAUUAUAAUAUGGAUUUCUUUUUACAAUGGAAUUAUCUACAAAAAAGUUCUCAAUGGUGGUUACAGUGGAGACCAAUAUUUAGAACACAGUGGACAAGUCUUUACAAGCCAAUCCUACCAGUAAUAGAAACCACAUCCUUUGUGUCUCUGCUUACAUGCUUUUUAACAUGGAGAGAAAUUUCAUCUGUAUUUCAGAAUUAUUGGUCUUCUUGAUGUUCAACUGUAUGGAAAUGGUUCUUGAAAUUGUAUUUCGGAAUUAGUGAUCUUGAUUCGGAACAAAAUGACUAAUUUCCUUCUUACAUUCCACAUGUAUGUAAAUAGUAUCGGUAUUAUAUAAAUGUUUGUGUAAAUCUUACAUGUUCUAUAGAGUUUUGAAACUCACAGCAUAAGAGACCUCUGUUUUCUAUAUUGAUAUAUUUCCUAAAUAUUUUUAAAGACCCGCGGCAACGCCGGUGCACUUUUUCUAAUCUUACAUACUUACAGGCACUUUUUCUAAUCUUACCUACUUUGCAUGAACCUUCCAAUACGGUAGAAAACUAGCAUUUUUGAAUUAAGAAUUAUUUUUUAAAUGCCUGAUUACUUAAACCUCACCUAGAGAAAAUUUUAGGGCGUUGUGCAUAGGUAAUUGGAGCUACUGCAACUUUUUAUCAUUGACAUGGUUGGAAUGUGUAAAAAUUUAACGGUGAGGGAGUAAAUUUCUAAUUAAAAUAGUUCGAGUGACAGUGGUCAAAAGUUCAGUGGCAAAUUGAUGAAGUAAUCUAGAACUAAAUUAACCAUCUACUUAGAGAUACAUCAACCUAAAUUAACCAUCUACUUAGAGAUACAUUAACAAACAUCUGCAUGUACAUUUAUUCCUAAUAUUGUGGACACUAUAUAAUGAUUGCCUACGAUAUUGUUGUUUACCAACUUGCAUUCCAAAUUUGAAAGAUCAUCUUUUACCAUAUGGUGCACUUUUACUGAGAAUGUAGCGUUUAUGUGAUUAAUUGUUCAGUUUACAUGUUUUUUGUUGUGGUGCACCAUAUGGUGAUGCAUAAGCUCGAGAGGUCCUCUGGAUUUUGGUAGUUGCAAAUUUGCAAUGAUCAAGAAACAUGGGACAUGAUACUAGAAAAUGUGUUUGUAGAUUCAAAAGUUAACCGUUGUUAAUGUUAUCAUAGUGGAAUUUCAUUGGAUUUUGAUGUUGGGAUACGAUGAAUCAUGAUCGGGUUAUGAUUAAUGCUAAUUAAUGAUAUGAAUCAAAUGCUUGCAGUGUGUAAUUAUGAUUGGAUUAAAGGAGUUUGGGCUUUUUCUCUAAUGAAAGUUAUAAAACAAAUUGUAAGUUUAGAUACUUCACAAGUCAGAGGCCAAGUCUUAAAAUAUAUUUCGUAAUGUUUUCAGAUAAAUGUUUUCAAUUUUUGCAGUGGGAUACUGAGACUUGAACCAGUCCGGGGUAAAAAUGGUUGAUAACGUUGCACCAGACUGGAACUUGCAUAGUAGUUUAAUGUUUAGUUCGUGGAAGAGUAAUUUGUUAUUGGUACAAUUGGUUUCUCUUUGCAUGCCUAUACUCCCAAGAGAUAAAUUCAGGUAUUGCCUGUUCGAUUUUAGUUGUUUUUAAAGUUAAUCAUCCACUGCUUCUUCUUUGAUUCAUGUUUGUUUCUCUCAACCAAAAACCAGAACCUUGCUUCUCCAACUGUCUCUCGCAGUAGAACAACAUCUACCACCAAGGAGGCUCUUCGAGCUUCAGUCCAGGGGUAAGCUUCUCUCUUUUGAUUGGAUUCAACCAUCGAUCUGGUUUUCUGGUGGAAGUCAUAAUUUUCAUCCCAAUUUUUGUCCGAAAAUCUUAAAUUUUCUCUCAGAAAUUUGAGAAAUGAAGAUUCUCUGUUUGUUUUUGUCUGUUUUGGAGACCCAAUCUGAAUUUUGUGUUCUGGUCAAUCUUGGAUAAUUCCCUUAGAUUAAGGGAAUUAAAUUGUCCCAAUUAUGGUUUUUUUUUUUUUGGUGUUGAAUUUGUUUGAAUGUUUUGUUUUAUUUUUGAGUUUUUGGAAUUUUAACUAAACUCACUUUAUAGAUCAUGCCAUGAUGAUAACAAAAAGGAUUAGUAUAUUUGUGUAUGCAAUGAGUUUUAGUGAAAAUUAUACCAUUCCAGAGUGGAUUUUUGGACUUUGGUUUUCGCACUAAAAGGAUUAAAAACUACCCUGUCCAAUUAAAUUAUGAGUUUAAUAAAGGUUAAAGUGAAAGUUUAAUUAAAAGAAAUUAUCCAUUAAAACCCCCCUAUUCUCCGCAAUUCGUUGUAGAAUUUACACAUCAAUGGCUUUCUUUAUCGUUUUUUCUUAAUGGGUUAUCGAUUCCUGUUUUCAGCUUUCCCAGCUCGAGUUCUUCUCUCUCAGAACCUAGCUCGAGUCCUCAGGUAAAUUCCAUCUUCCUUUCUUCCUUGGUUUUUUCUUUGCAGCACUUAGCAGUACUAUUCUCUUUAUGUUUGGGUGAAAUUAUGUAAAUUUUGAAUUGUUUAUCAAAUUUGAUUCUUAAUUGUGGAAAUGGGGUUGAAUUUAUUGUGGUAUUAAUUUUGCACCCAAAGAUUGAAGGGUUUGUUUUUAUGCUUUCAAGCUUGGUUAUUGAGAGGUUGUUGGUGUUGAAUUAGUGGCCAAGUGGCCAAAAGCAUAUAAUAAAAAAUGAAGGACAUAAUGAUGUGGGAACAUCAUUAUGAAGAGACAAAUGAUUAUGUUUGUUGAAAAGAAAAAGAAAGGUCAUGAUGAUGUUUGUAAAGGAAUGAUUAUUCCUUUACUUUGGAUUUUUUAUUGGGUGCUCUUGUAUGGAUGAAGGUUGCAGCCGAAUGAGAAAGAGAGGUAGAGUACACCAUUUCUGUUUUAGUAGCCCAUCUUUGAGAGAGCAAAGGUAGCUGCAGAGAGCAGAAAACUGAGAGCAGAAAAAGAAGAAGAAGGUGCUCUUCUCUUUGGUUAGUAAUCACCCACCAAGGUAGUUGUUGUUGUAAUAGUUUUGAGCUUUGUAUAGAGAAGAAAUUAAUCACUAUAUUUCUUUCUCUAUUUGUUUCUUUAGUGUGUGAGAGCUAUUGGUUGUAUUGGGGUUUUGGGUUGUGAGCUUGUCAACACUUUGUAAACUCCCAUUUGGUUGAUAGUGGAUUAUUGGGUGAGCUCCUACUGCUCCAAAGACGUACUCCAGUUAAACUGACUGUUGAGGAACCUCGUUAAAAUCUUGGUGUCUUUUAUAUUUUGUUCUUGCAUUCCAUUUGAUAUAUUUCAUGUGGGUUAGCUUGAGUUGGUUCCAACGGGUUUGGUAUUAUCCUAGCACAACAGUUGGUCAGGGAAUUUAUUUUAGUUCCUAUCCCCUUGGCUGUUUGCAAAGCAAAGCACAGAUGAUUCAUGUAUUAUUUAGUUUUUGUGUUGGGUUGCGCAUGCUUUCAAAAAUAUAUGAAUUUGUGCGUUUAUGGUUAUGAAAAUGAGGGCUGCAGACCCUCAUCCUUCACAUUUUAGUUUCUCUUUAUGCUUCUCCCUUUUGGGAUUUUGUGGAACCAAAUUUGUAAUUUUUGUGUAUUAUGAAAGUUGAAUAUGUGGGAAUCAAUCAGUUCUUCAUUUUUCGUGUAUAUGGAGAAUGCUGUUUUCUACACUUUUAUGGUUUGAUAAAAUAUAUCGUUUGACCAAAAAUAAAAAAAAUAAAAAAACUUAAAGGGUGAGAAUUUAUGGUACUUUCCUUGGUGAGGGGUUGGUAUCGAAUUUCUGGGUUUAAAGCGGAUCGAUUUUUUUAUUUAGGUUUAAUAUGGGGAAUAAAUGAAAGGCGAAUUUAGCCUUUUUCGAGUAUUUCAUCAGCAAGGAACAAAAUGCCUAUAAUAUCGGCGAUAUAUCGCCGAUAUUAUCGGUUUUUCGCCGGACCGAUAUUUUAAUAGGUAUCCAAGGGGUUUUCGUCAAAAUAUCAUGAUAUUAUCGCGAAAUUUCAGAACUGUGCAAGUCGGAGACGAACACCGGAGCUUUUACAGCUCCGGCCGACUGUAAAACAGCCCCCUAGACUCCGAUCUAGGUAUGAAAAUGAAAUAGAAGACGAGAGGAACGUUUUUAUAACGUCCGUUUGCCGUGAAACGGUCGGAGGUGUUCGGAAAGUUCGUCGACACCCACAGCCUCGCCGGAGAUGGGUGUGCCUAUUCCCGAGCCGAUUUCAUCCCAAAAACCUUGCAAAAACACGAGAUAGAACUUCAAUUUCACAUCUAAGCUUUGAUCUAGAAUAGAAAAAGAAAAACCCGAAGCUUACCUAACCGGAGAAAUUGAAGGAACUCGCCGGAGCAGGUGCGAUGGUGUGCGUGUGGGUCUCGGUGCAGAGAGAAAUGAGAGGUGUAUGUGGGUCUCGGUGCAGAGAGAAAGGAGAGGGAGGAGCAGAAGGGCGUGGUGUGUGUGUAGGUCUCGGUGCAGAGAGAAAGGAGAGAUGUAUGUGGGUCUCGGUGCAAAGAGAAAUGAGAGGGAAGAGCAAAAGGCCGUGGUGUGUGUGUGGGAGAAGGGAGAAGAGAGAUCGAGAGAUCUCUGUGUGUGUGUGUGGGAGUGGAGAAUGGAGAGAAUAGAGAAGGAUCGAGAGAGAGAGACAGAGGUCUCUGUGUGUAUGCGUGUGUGAUGUUUGUGUGCGUGCGUUGUGUGCGUGUGUGGUUGCGUGCGUUGUGUGUGUGUGUGGGGUUCCUCCUGUUAGGAAGACACAUGACUCACUCAGGAUUCUUGACAACUUUUACAAUUUUUUGACAAUUAGACCACUUUUGACAAUUCACAAUUGUACAAUUUCAGACCAUGGAUGGUGGUUUCAUUCAAAACCGUGUGUCAUUGUGAUAUUCUUUCAAGAGGUGGAGUAUCAUACUCAUUCAAAGCAUUUUCGUUUCUUCUUCUUCCCUUACCCCUUUCAAAGCUGCCAUUGUGAUAUUCUUUAAAGAGGUGGAGUAUCAGAGCCAUUCAGAGCAUUUUCAUUUCUUCUUCUUCCCUUACCCCUUUCAAAGCCAUUCCAAAUCCAUUCCAGAGCUUGAACACAAAGGGUUCCAUAUUUAAAGUAAGUUUACAAACUUAUAUUUAUAUUAUUGUAAUUUAUACAACAACAAAAAAAUUUGUGUAGACUCGUAUGUUAAUUUUUUUAAUUUACUUGCAUGUUAGUUUUUGUAAGUAAUUAAGUAAUGUUAACAAUUACAUGUUAAUUUUUUAAGUAAUUAAUUUGUAAGUAAUUAAGUAAUGUUAACAAUUACAUGUUAAUUUUUUUAAGUAAUUAAAUAAUGUUGUAUAAUUAUUCCCUAGGAUAAUUUUAAUAUGUUUAAUGUUAUUUAUUAUUUUAUUAAUAUUAGGUUUUAUUAUCAAAUUAGAUUAUUAUUCAUUAAUAUUAGGUUUUUUUUAUUAUCAAAUUGGAUUAUUCAUUAAAUUGGAUUAUUAUCAUCAAAUUAAUGUUUUAUCACUAUAUUAGGAUUAUUUUUUAUAAAUUGGAUUAUUAUUCAUUAAUAUUAGAUUUUAUUAUUCCAUAUUAUUUUUAUAAUUACUUAAAUUUUUACAAUCAUUUCUUUACUUCGUAUUUAAUUCUUCUGUAGAAUAACUUUAUUAUUUAGGUUCUCUUAUAUAACCGCCAUCACUACUAUAUUUUUUGGCCAAAAAAUAAUUGUCUAAUUUUCAUGAAAAAUAAAUAUAGGUACGUUUAAGAUGUCCAGUGGAGUUAUUAAACGUGAUUCAGCUUGGGAACAUGGAGACCCAAUAGACGGAAACAAACAUGGCACAAUUUGCAAAUAUUGGGGUCGGGUAAUGAAGAGUGGCCGAGUGACACGACUUAAGCACCAUCUUAGUGGAUUAGAUCCAGCAAAAAAUGUCCAACGAUGCGAUAAUGUCCCCCCAGAAGUGAAGACAUUCAUCAGCACAUUAUUAAAAAAAUAAAAAACAGCAGAAGGAAAAGAUAACACAUGGAAUGGAAAAUAUUCGAGCUGGGCUACGGGGAGAAGUCUAUGGCUAAGCGGUUGACAGUGAUGAUGAUGACGAUGAGGACGAAUGUGAUGAUGACAUGGGACCUGAAGAACGACGCAGUUUGAAACAAGCAUUACGUGCCUCCAAACAGUCAGCAUGGGAAAGAGAACACCUUCAUAAAAUUCCUAAUAGAGCACAAGGUUCCGGGACAAGUGGUGGUGCACAAAUGAGACGGGGAUGCAGUCUUAGAGAAUCACAACCAACACCACCAAUAGCCCCAAGUUUAUAUAAGUCAUCCAAAGCACGUCAAAAGAGUGUUUGGAGUUAUUUUACUGGAGGUAAUGUGAAGGAGGGAAUGGGGCGUCUAAUUAGCAAGUUCUUUAUCUAUGAAAAUGUCCUUGCUGAGAAAGCAUCAUCACAUCAUUUCAAAAAUAUGGUAGUGGGAUGUCAACAGGCCGGUGUUGGAGUACAACCUCCCACACCCUAUGAGAUAAGAAACAAAUAUUUGGAUAUGGAGUAUACAGACAUUGGCGAGUAUGUUAACAAGUUGAGGUCAAAGUGGGAAACUAAUGGUUGCACAAUCAUGUGUGAAGGAUGGACCAGCCCGACCAGAUUGUCUAUCAUAAACUUCAUGGUAUACUCCAAGGGAAAGACAAUUUUUUUGAAGUCUGUUGAUGCUUCAGACCAUAUAAAGAACUACAAGUAUAUACAAAUUAUUGAGGGAUGUAAUCAUAGAGGUGGGAGAGCAUAAUGUUGUCUAAGUCGUGACCGACAACGGUUCUGCAUUUGUCAAAGCUGGAAAAAAGUUAAUGAAGCAUCAUAAUGUGUUUUGGACAUCAUGUGCAGCACAUUGUAUUGAUCUCAUGUUUGAGGCAAUGGGGAAGAGAGAGAAUGUUGCUACUGUGGUAAAAAGAGCUAGAACGAUCACAAAUUAUAUUUAUAAUCACAGUUGUUUGUUGGCAAAGAUGCGUGAAUUUUGCAAAGGAGAAAUUAUUCGUCUAGCUACCACUCGAUUCGCCACCAACUAUAUUGCAUUAGACAGCAUACUUAAGAAGAAAGCAGGGUUGAAGCAACUAUUCACUAGUGACAAUUGGCCCAACCACAAUUUAAGCCGCUCAAAUGCAGGUCGUAUGGUGGAAAGUAUAGUGCUUGAUCAUGCUUUUUGGACUCAAUCAGAACAUGUGUGCCAAAUGUUUGAACCUCUUUACAAAGUUUUACGGAUCGUUGACACAGAAGUGUAUCCUACUAUUAGCAAUUGCACCAAAUUAGAAGUUUUAUCUGUCGGCCUCAAUAAUUUUGGAGGAGUGCUGCCUGAAUCUAUCAGCAAUCUCUCAACAAAGCUCAGGAAAAUAAAUUUUCAUGACAAUCAAAUACGCGGAAACAUUCCCAACGGGGUUGGAAAUCUCAUCAACUUGGAGAGACUGGGCUUUUCAACAAAUUUAUUGGCAGGCACUAUACCGAAUUCAAUAGGUAAAUUGAAUAAGCUUUAUUAAAUAUAUCUACAUUUAAAUGAAUUGUCAGGUAAUGCUCCAUCAUCUCUAGGAAAUCUCACUUCAUUAAGCAAUUUGUAUCUCCAAUCAAACCAGUUAAAUGGAAGCAUACCACAAAGUCUCGGAGACUGCAGGUUUAUGAUAUAUUUGGAUCUUUCCCAUAACAAUCUUAGCGGUCCAAUUCCAAAACAAGUAAUCAAUUUACCUAUUUACUUGAAUUUAUCUGGAAACCAACUUACUGAAUCUAUUCCCAUGGAAGUAGGCAACUUACAGCUUCUUGCUUUCUUGGAUGUUUCUGAAAACAAGCUAUCUGGUGAGAUUCCACAAAGCUUAGGGAGUUGCACAAGUUUGACGACUCUGUCCCUGAGAGAAAAUUUAUUGCAGGGGACAAUUCCUAAAUCCUUGAGCUCUUUGAGAGGAAUUGAAGAUUUUGACCUCUCUCGCAACAACUUGUCUGGCAUAAUUCCUAACUACUUGGGGAGUUUCCCCUUCUUGCAGAAUUUGAACCUUUCAUUUAACGAUUUUGAAGGUGCAGUACCAAUCCAAGGAGUUUUUAAGAAUGCAAGUGUGGUAUCUGUUGUGGGAAACACACGGCUUUGUGGAGGUAUACCUCACUUAAGAUUGCCUAAAUGCAUCUCCAAGCAAUCUAAGCGUGGGUUAUCUCCUAAGCUGAACUUAAUUAUCUCAGUUUCUUGUGGGGUUGUCGGCGUGGUCUUGGUGUUGUUAGUUGCCCUUCUUUAUCGAUCAAGAAAGGCUAGAGAGCUUAAGUCAACUUCAGGAUCAUCACUGGGGGUUUCACUCUUGAAACUGUCCUAUGGAGAUCUCCUCAAAGCAACUGAUGGGUUCUCUGCUUCGAAUCUGAUUGGUUUUGGAAGUUUCGGGUCCGUGUACAAGGGAGUUCUCAAUCAGCAUGAAGAAAGAAAUGUUGCGAUGAAAGUACUCAAUCUUCAAACUUCAAGAGCUUCUAAAAGUUUCAUAUCUGAAUGUGAAGCCUUGAAAAGCAUUAGGCAUCGAAAUCUUGUCAAGCUGCUGACUGCUUGUUCAAGCAUUGAUUUUCAAGGAAACGAUUUCAAAGCCCUGGUGUAUGAGUUCAUGGUGAAUGGAAGCCUAGAUGAGUCAUUGCACAUAUCAGCUCAAGGAGUAGAUAGGCCAGCCAAUCUGCCAAAGAAUCUGAAUCUCACUCAAAGAGUUAACAUUGCCAUCGAUGUAGCAUGCGCUCUGGAUUAUUUGCAUAACCACUCCCACAUGCCAAUAGUUCAUUGUGAUAUAAAGCCCAACAACAUUUUGUUAGACAGUGACAUGACUGCUUGUGUUGGUGAUUUUGGUUUAGCAAGGUACCUCCGGGAUGCUUCUUGCCCAUCUCCUUUGCACGAUAGCAGUUCCAAUGUCAUAAAAGGCACCAUAGGCUAUACUCCCCCAGGUAAAUUUUCUUUUGUAUAUAUUUUAUUUGUGCUUCCAGUAUGGUUUUGUAUAUAGCAGCAUGAGUUUUUUUGAAGUCACAUAUAAGAACAAAGCUAUGUUUUUGUGUGCAUAUAACUUAAAGAUAUGGAAUGGGAGGCGAGCUGUCAACAUAUGGCGAUGUGUAUAGCUACGGAAUACUGUUGUUGGAGAUGUUAACUGGCAAGAUGCCGACAGAUGACAUGUUUUAAAGGUGGUAUGGACCUGCACAAUUUUGUUAUAACGGCUCUACCAGACCACGAACAUGUGGAAGAAAUAUAUUAAUCAAAAGCCAGAAGUAACAAGGGGAAUCAUAGCCCAAAUGAUCAAAGAAAAAGGGUUGUGGGGUGCUUGACUUCCAUUGCAAGAGUGGGAGUGGCUUGUUCUGUAGCGAUGCCGAGGGAGCGAAAAGACAUGAGCAAUGUGGUCGCUGAAUUGAGUCUAAUAAGGGACAUGCUAAUUGGAAUCAGAUGCCAAGUGAGCUUCUCUGAUCAAGGCCCAUGUAGUGAGAAAUAAUAGCCUGUCAUCAUUAUUUCAACUGCCAUGAAACUUGGACAGUAGUUUGCGUGGAGUGGUCUGUCGGUUUUUAUAUUUUUGCAGUUGCUUUUAUUGUAUGAUUUGUGAAUGAUCUUUGUGUAAGAUCAUCUUUGCGCUUGCUUGGAUGUCUAUUUAAGUUUAGUGUUCUGUCUGUUUAAUAUUUUGCGUUACUAAGUUUGUGUUUGUCCAGUCUUCAAAUUUGUCAAUCUUUCUUACUUUGUUGUUUACAUUGAUUGUUUACACACUUGUUAUUGUAGUAUAUACCAGCAAUUGAACCUGCGCGAUGCCGUAGGUUUUUAAUUGUGUUAUGUUGUAGAAAAAAUCCAUUUACAUCCAUAUCAAACUCUAUUUACAUCCUUAUGUUCAUUAAGGAAUAAAAGAUAGGUGUUUACAGAACACAUUACAUAGCUAAAAAAGUUGGAGACUAAGCUGUUCAUAUAGAUAUAAGGGUAAAAGACUGUUUACCACCCUCAUGUUUCGUGGUUUUCAACAUUUAGUACAUCAAGUUUUUUUCGUCCCAGAAUCAUACCUAAAGUGUAAAUUUUGGGACAGUCUCAUACAUCUGUUAGUCAAACGGUUAGUUCUCCCGUUAAGUGAUGACGUGGCGCUCUGAUUGUACGCCACGUGUCAUUAAAAAAAUAAAAAAAUUAUUUAAAUAAAAAUAAUUUUAAAAAAUAUUUAAAUAAAUAUUAAAAUAAUAAAAUAUUAAAAUAAUAAUAAAAUAAUUUUUUUUUCUUCUUCUCUUCUUCUUCUUCUUCUUCUUCUUCUUCUUCUUCUUCUUCUUCUUCUUCUUCUGGGUUCGGUUUCUUUUUUUUUUUUUUUUCUUUUUUUUUUUUUUUUCCUCCUCCUCCUCCUCCUCCUUCUUCUUCCUUCUUCUUCUCCUUCUUCUUCUUCUUCUGGGUUCGGUUUCUCUCUUUUUUUUUUUUUUUUUUUUCUUCUUCUUCUUCCUUCUUCCUUCUUCUUCUUCUUCUUCUUCUUCUUCUUCUUUCUUUUUUUUCUUUCCUUCCUCCUUCUUCCUUCUCCUUCUCCUUCCUCUUCUUUCUCUUCUCCUUCUUCCUUCUUCCUUCCUUCCUUCAUUCUUCUUCUCCUUCUUCUUCCUUCUUCUUCCUCUUCUUUUCUGGGUUCGGUUUUUUUUUUUUUUUUUUUUUUUUUCUGUUUUUUUCCUUCUCCUCCUUCCUUCUUAAGAAGGAGAAGAAGAAUGAGGAGGAAGGAGAAGGAAGAAGAAGAAGGAGGAGGAAGGAGAAGGAAGAAGAAGGAGAAGGAGGAGGAAGAAGAAAAAAAGAAAAGAAAAGAGAGAACCGAACCCAGAAGAAGAAGAAGAAGAAGAAAAAAAAAAAAAAAAAGAAGAAGAAGAAGAAGAGAAGGAAAUUUUUUUUUAUUAUUUAAAUAUUUAUUUAAAUAUUUUUUAAUAUUUUUUUAUUUAAAUAAAUUUUUUAUUUUUUUAAUAACACGUGGCGUCCAAUCAGGGCGCCACGUCAUCACUUAACGGGAGAACUAACCGUUUGACUAACAGAUGUAUGAGACUGUCCCAAAAUUUACACUUUAGGUAUGACUCUGAGACGAAAAAAACUUGAUGUACUAAAUGUUGAAAACCACGAAACAUGAGGGUGGUAAACAGUCUUUUACCCUAGAUAUAAUACACACCAAAAUAUUUUUGCUUUUCAUGUCCCAACUUUCAGAUUGUUCCUCAGGACUUCACUCUUCUUUCUUCAUCGUUGCCAAAAAGAUGUUCUUCUGGCCGAGUCCGUUAAAAUAUCGUGUGAAUGUAAUUGAAACCUGAGACAACAGAUAGAUAGCUAGGAAGAAAGAAAAACACAUGCAUGAAGAAAACUUUUAAUUUUAGACAUACACCAACCUACAUUCUUACACAAUUCUUCCCGUUUUCCCAAAUCUUUCCAGACAUCAAUGAAAACAAAACUGUUCGUAGCAAUGAAAACGUAAUUUCUACUAAUUGCAUCCAUACAAAAGCUGACAACCCAAUGAGGCAGCAUUAAGUUACAAUGCUUGAUCUUCUAAUGGAACAUUGUUAAAAAUUCAAGCACUUGAGCAUCUUUUGAGUUUAAUUACUACUACUUAAACAUGCAAAAAUUGGCUAGACUUUUUUUAAUUAACACAUCCGUAAGAUAGCUAAUUCUAAUUAGUCUCAUGACGAGCAAAUAGGUGAAUUUGGAUUGGCAGUUCUUGAAAGAAUUUAAGCUAGGGUUGGAAACAUAAAUGGUAUAAGCUCAACUCAAUUAAUUAUGAGUGAGGUAUGGACUUCAUUAUAUAGAGAUUACAAGAUGAGGUUGGUUACAAUAUAAACUUAUCAUCUGUUUACAUUUGAAUUCAAAACUAAGUUAUACAGGAAUUGGAGAUAAUGACGAAUUGUGAUCCCUUGCUAUCUGUUGAAGAGGUUGAAGAGUAUUCAACUUGUGUAGCUGACUUGGACGUGGAGAGUCCUUUUCCAUGCAUUGCUGACGUGGAGAAAGAUACUGAAUAUUUGGUUUAUCACGCCCCCGCAAGCUGAGUGGGCGGGGACGAACAGGAAGCUUGGAAAUGAGAUAACUGAACCGAGCGGGGGACAAGCCUUUUGUUAAGAGAUCGGCAAGUUGGUCAGCGGAUGAAACAUAACCCACAACAAGUUCAUUGCGCGUGACUUUUUCUCGAACAUAAUGAUAAUCAACUUCCACAUGAUGCAUACAAGCCUGAUAAACUGGAUUGGAAGCUACGGCUAGGGCACUGAUAUUAUCACACCAUAAUUUGGGGGGAUUGAGAGGGAGACGAAGAUCACGGAACAUUUGUCUGAACCAAGAUAAAGUGGCAGAGGUAUAGGCCAUUUGUCGAUACUCAGCCUCUGUACUGGAGCGAGACACACCACGUUGCUUUUUAGAACUCCAAGAGAUUAAGUUAUCCCCGAGAAAUAUGCAAUGACCACCAGUGGAGCGACGAUCAUCGGGGUCACCAGCAUAGUCGGCAUUGGCAAAGGCUGUUAAGGACAAAGAACUGGGUUGAUAAACAAUACCGCGAUCAUGAGUAGCUUUCAAAUAGCGAAGAAUGCGCUUGACGGCAGCCCAAUGUGUAGUAGUGGGGGAAUGCAUAUACUGACAGACUUGAUUCACAGCGAAAGCAAUGUCAGGCCGUGUGAAUAAGAGAUAUUGGAGAGCCCCAACAACGCUUCGAAAAGUGGUUCCAUCAUCCAAUGGCUCACCCUCAUACAAACUAAGCUUGCGGCCAGGAAGGGCUGGAGUAGACAAGGGUUUGGCGUCAGUCAUCUUAGUGCGUUGGAGAAGGUCCAGGAUAUAUUUUGACUGUGUUAAAUACAUGGCCGUCUGUGUUCGCGUGAUUUCCAUUCCCAAGAAAUAAUGUAAGGGACCAAGGUCCUUCAUGGAAAAUUUCUGACCCAAUUGGUGAAUCAAGGUGGAGAUGCUGGAAGGAUCAUUACCUGUGACAAGAAUGUCAUCAACGUAGAUGAGUAAGUAAAUGACAGUGGUUCCAUUGAAGAAGAUGAACAGCGAAGAAUCGGCCAUGGAGGCUUGAAAGCCGAGUUCCUCCAAAUGGUGAGAGAAGCACUGAAACCAGGCACGGGGAGCCUGUUUUAAGCCGUAUAAGGACCGGCGAAGACGACAUACAUGGGAUGGAAACUGUGGAUCAACAAAGCCAGAAGGUUGGCGCAUGUAAACUUCUUCAGUUAAAGAGCCGUGGAGAAACGCGUUUUUGAGAAUAAGCCGGAUGGUAGCAUGAGUGACGACAGGGCUAAACGUCUCACUGUAGUCAAGCCCUUCUUGUUGAUGAAAACCAUUGGCAACAAGACGUGCUUUAAAUCUUUCAAUGGAACCGUCAGAUUUCCGUUUAACACGGUAGACCCAUUUAUUUGGGAGAACAUUCAUGGAGGGAUGAAAAGGAACCAGGGACCACGUGCCUGUGCUUUGCAGAGCAUUGAACUCGUCGGCCAUUGCCAUACGCCAUUCAGGGGAUUUAUUUGCCUGUGUAAAACAAGUAGGCUCAACUAUGUCAAUAGUCACAGCAGAAACAAUAGCAUAUUUGGGAUUCGGUUUUUGGAUGCCAUCCUUUGAACGUGUAACCAUGGAGUGAACAGGUGAAAGCUGUCUCUGAGAGGAAGAUGAGACAGGAGUAACACUUACUUCAUUCGUAGAGGAGAGGAUGGGGGAAGGGUCAGAGAGAGAGGGUAUAGGGGAGAUGGGUUGGUGCGGAUUUGGUGGGAAAGUAGGGGGAAUAGGGUUAGGUGGUGUGGAUGGAAUAGGGGGAGGCAUGGGAUGGUGUGGAUGGUGUGGUAACGUACAGGGAAUAGGGUUAGGGUUUGGUGGGGUGGAUGAUGUGGUGGGAUAGAUGGACGGAUGGGGGUUUGGGGUUACAGUAGGGGUAAUAGGGUUCCUAGAGGGAUAUUGUAAAGGAGAGGGAUCAAUGUUCAAUACCGUAGAUAAUUGGGAGGAUGAAGGUGUUGUAGAAAUGGAUUCUUUGUAUGGGAAAGUGGUUUCAUCAAAUAAGACAUGACGUGACAAAAAUAUGCAACCAGUGGACGUAUCUAAACACCUAUAACCUUGUUGAUUUAAUGAAUAACCUAAGAAAAUGCAACGUUUGGAGCGAAAUUGCAACUUGUUAGUAUUAUAAGGACGAAGAAACGGAAAACAUGCACACCUAAAAACUUUAAGAAAAUCAUAUUGAGGAGAUUUUUUAAACAGUUUUUGGAAUGGAGACUCAUCAUGGAGAACUUUAGUUGGUAAACGAUUGAUCAAAUAAUUUGCGGUAUGAAAAGCAUCAUCCCAAAAUGAAAUUGGUAAGGAUGAAUGAGCAAGAAGAGUGAGACCAGUUUCAACUAUAUGACGAUGUUUACGUUCUGAAAUGCCGUUUUGUUCAGGAUGAUGUGGACAUGUAAAGCGAUGUAGAACACCAUGUUGAGUCAAAAUUUUUUUAAAAAGGUUGUUUACGUACUCUCCUCCUCCAUCAGUUUGAAAAGAUUUAAUUUGAGUAUUAAACAUGUUUUCAACCAGUUUCUUAAACGACACAAAGGUAGGAAAAACAUCAGAUUUUAGUUUUAAGGGAUAUAACCAAGAGUAGCGAGAAAAAUCAUCAAUAAAUACGACAUAAUAUUUAAAACCAUUGAUAGACAAUGAAGGUGAAGUCCAUACAUCGGAAUGAACCAAUUCUAAAGGAGACGAAGACCGAGAGACAGACAAUUGAAAAGGUAACUUGUGACUCUUACCCAUGGGACAUGAGUGACAGAACUCACUAGUUACAACGCCCUUAAUGGGCAAUUUAUUCCUAGAAACUAAACUUUGCAAAAUAUGAGAAGAUGGAUGACCUAACCUAGAGUGCCAAAUGGAAUUGGACACCCUAGUUCCUAAAAAUGCAGACACGCCUUUAUUUGAAGAUGAAACACCAGAAAAAGGGUAGAAUCCAUUCCUACUCGGGCCUUGUAAAAGCAUCCUCCCCGUGUGGAGUUCCUGAACACAGUAUGAGUUGGGGUAUAAGGUUAGAGAGCAGUUAUUAUCAUUAGUAAAACGAUGGAUGGAAAUAAUAUUAGUUGAUGCAUUUGGGCAGAGCAGUGUAUUAGGUAAACGAAAAGUGGAGGUAGGUGUACGAAUGGAAGUGUUGCCUAUGUGUGAAAUUGUCAAACCUGUGCCACCAACAACUCCAUUGACUUGGUCUAUGCCAUUAUAAGGACGAGGAUGUGAAACACUAGCAGGAUUAUUCGUGAUGUGAGCAUUGGCCCCGGAGUCAAAUAACCACUCUUGUAUGGCAGGUGCAGUUGCAGAAGCAGGAGGUGCACUCGCAGCAAAAGCCUGCAGUCGUGGUGCAGGGAUGCGUCCCUCAUAAGACAUGUUUAGGCGGUUGAAACAGUCAAUCGCAGAAUGACCAUGACGACUACAGAUUUGACAUUGAAUCCGUCCGGUAGGAAAAUUACUUUGAAAGGGAGCAGUGCCAAGAACCCCAUCAUUUUGGCGAGAGUUAGACCCUUGGUGAGAGUGGGACCCUUGGUGAGAGUGAGGGGAGUUGCAGUGGCGGUUGGAAGAACCUCGACCAUUACUAAAAUUACUACGACCACGGAACCCAGGAGAGGGCCCUCGUCCCCGAAAAGAGGCAGGUGUACGGCUACCAUUGCGAACGGCGGCAAGAGCAGUGAGUCCGUUGUCAGUACCAAAUGCAGAAUGCAUUUUUUGUCGUCUUUCAGCGCCAAGGAGUAGGGCUUCCAAAGCACUAUAGGUAAUGGCCUCAUCACGAGCUUGGGCUGAAGCAACUGUGCUUUCAUAGGCAGGGCCGACGUUGUUGAGAAUAAUGGCAACGAUGUCGGAGUCUGAAACAGGAGCACCAGAGAGAGAGAGGGUAUCUGCUAGACAAUUAAUUUUAUCCAAAAAAUCAGAAAUGGAAGAAUCACCUCUGUGAGUAUUCAUCAACUCACUACGAAGCUGGAAAAGACGACCGGUUGACUGAGAAGCAUAUCGAUCACGGAGUGUGGUCCAGGCAGAAUGGGAGCUAGUUUUCCCAAUUAAAGCAGCAAGCACGGUAGGGUGGACGGAGGAGUUGAUCCAGGACAUAACAGUGGCAUCCUGUUGGAUCCAAGUUUCGAAAUCAGGGUUGACUUUGUCAGUGAGGAUACCAUCCUUAUCUGUCAGGAAUGCUGGAGGACACGGACUAGUGCCAUCAACAAAGGAAACAAGAUUGCGGCUGCGGAGAAGAGGUAACAUUUGGGCCUGCCAGAGAGGGUAGUUGGUACGAUCAAGUUUGAUCGUGAGAAAAUUGGAGACAUUAGGGAGGGGAAUGGGAGAGGAAGAUUGAGAAGCCAUGGGAGAAGGAGAAAAAAAUUAUUGUCGUUAGACUUUAGCUCUGUGAUACCAUGAAAGAAUUUAAGCUAGGGUUGGAAACAUAAAUGGUAUAAGCUCAACUCAAUUAAUUAUGAGUGAGGUAUGGACUUCAUUAUAUAGAGAUUACAAGAUGAGGUUGGUUACAAUAUAAACUUAUCAUCUGUUUACAUUUGAAUUCAAAACUAAGUUAUACAGGAGUUGGAGAUAAUGACGAAUUGUGAUCCCUUGCUAUCUGUUGAAGAGGUUGAAGAGUAUUCAACUUGUGUAGCUGACUUGGACGUGGAGAGUCCUUUUCCAUGCAUUGCUGACGUGGAGAAAGAUACUGAAUAUUUGGUUUAUCAGUUCUAAUAUUCACAUCUAAUAUUGACGUAUAAGAAAACAAAUGGGGGACAUAUAAGCAAAGCUGAGACAGAGAGUUUACAUAUAUAAUCCCUAUUUCCUCUUUUUUCAUCUGCUCUCAGAUACAAUGUGAGUGACUAAAUGAGUGCAUUUAAAUUAGAAAGAGAUGACAUAGGCAUAACUGGGCAAAGAAAAGGAGGAAGAUAAGAUGAAACAAAGAAAAGGCCUUUAAAAAAAAUUUGACAGAGGCGUUUUCAGCAAGUAAAAAAACAGAGGCAUUUCCAAACAGAAGAUUAAGUGUUAGACUUGAGUCACAGACUCACAUGAGUACUGAAGGGGGAGGAGAAAAGGCUAACGUCCACCCGCGGCGAAUUAGGGAUGCAUGCGCACGGUUCAAUGCCAAUGCAUACGAUGGUAUAGUUUGACCAUUCAUUCAAGUUCCCUAAACAAGCAAACUAGGAUGAAAAUAAAUGAUUUCAUGCAAUAGACGUGCAAUUCUCGUCAAUAUUUAUGUUUUCAUGUCAAGGCAGCAUAUGAGAACUGAUAGCAUUCAACAUUGCUCACUCCUUAUCUAAUGAAAAAUCGUUUUGCUCCUAACAUUCAAUUCCUCCGAUGACUGGUUUAUGAGUUUCAGCCAAUUCCUCUCUUACCCUCUCCGACCCAAAAAAGGUAGGAAAGGCCUGAAAUUGCCCGGAAAAAUAAACACCGCAAGCUGGGCUUUUGGAACUCUUCGGUCGAGGGUAGAUUCGAGCACGCAAAGCUCGAAUGUUGUUGUUAUUAGCACUCUCUUGAGUCGAAUUGUUGUGGUUGCAGUGGCAGCCGUCAGAAAACGUCGAUUUUUGGGUUUCUCGUUCGAACGGUAAGUAGGCGUCAGUGAGGAGCGAGAGGGGGAAGAGAGAAGAAGAGAAGAAGAGAAGAGAAUAAAAAAUAAAACGUAUAUAUAUUUUCUCAGAAUGUGGCAGAGAAGUAAUAAAUCAAAUUUAACAGGGGCAAAACGAGAAGCAAACUGUGGUUGUGAACAGUGAAUCAGCUGGUUUUGAGUUUUAGUAUAUAUCAAAUUAAAUUUGGUUGUGACUUCUUGAUUCUUAUUAUCGUUAGAAUUUAUAUUAUUUUCAUAUUUUUUAAAUUGCUCCAACAUUUUCUUCUAUAAAGUAUUCAGUUGUUUCUUUCAAAUUAUCUAAUGUUAACAAUAAUCAGUUGUGUCUUUUAGCUAAUGCAAUCAUUAUUAUACAUAAAUUCUGACUUGCAGGUUGCAACCAAUCCAAUACAUAGUUUAGUGGUGCCACCCGUUAAAAAGUAUUCCAAUCAUUCCACAAAUGUACGUCAUGUAACGUCAUCCAGUCCCAUGAAAGUGUCACUUGAAAUCAAGGACACUGAAAAUCAUUCGUGUUCUUUUUGAGUCUUUGCGUCAACUUAAUUACCAAACGCACUAAAUAUCAAAAGCUAUAAUAAUUGCAUGCGUAUAUAUGCAUGGUUAGGGAAUCUUGUUGUUGGAGAUGCUUACUGGAAAAUGGCCUACAGAUAAAAUGUUCAAAGAACCUGCACAAGUUCGUUCGGAUAGCUUUGCCUGAGCUUGUUGAAGAAAUAUGUGAUCCCGUGCUUCUUCAAGUAAACGAAAGCAGCACACAUAGUAGUUAACAGCAACAGAACAUGUCAUCUAUUUCCUCUCCGUGUCAACUGUGAACGGUAAGAAUAGUUUCAAAGAAAGCAGAGCUGAGAUUUGAAGUUCUUAUUCUUGGAAGUUUAAUACAUCAUUUAUUUUUAGUGAAGUUUGUUAUAAUUGAACCUGCAAGGCUCCGAUUUGCUUAAUCACUGUUAAAGGUUUUAAUCUUGGGAUUAUUAGGCUUAUUCCUGUUUUAGUGAAGUUUGUUAUAAAUGACCAGCUGACAUGAUGAGUUGUAACUUGUAUAAGAGCACUAGCUCUCAGUAUUGUAAUCAGAAGAGUUUUUACAGAAAAAAUUACAAACACAAAAAUAUAUUGGAGCUCUGCUCCCUUCUACUUCAUCUUCUCCAUUUGCCAUUUCUAUUGCAGCUUGCAGGUUGAGAUAGCGUCCUGAGAUUUGUGAUCCUAAUCCUAUCAUCUCGCUGCCAUGGACGCGCGAGUUUCAGCCGCGUUCGACUCCUUUGAAGCUUCAGUGCGUGCUGCAUUCCGUGAAGCUCUGGUACCCGUCUGCCAUGAACUUUCUCUGUUACGCCGUGAUUUGGCUGUCGCAGUUGGGGGAGUUUCUGAUCCAGCCCCGAUGAUUUCCGACGACGCUGAAUCAAUCGAUCUCGGUCAUCCCGGACUUCAAGGAGACAACAAUCCACCGAGAAAUCCAUCGCCAAUGGAAACAAGAAAAUCUAAGAACGGAAUAUACCCAUCAGAAAAUGUUCAACCAAACAAGAAAAACUCCACAAUGUUGUAAUGGAAAUACUUGUUUUCUACGAACUACGCCUCACAAAGAACGCCAGGCAAAUUACGAAACAGCAACUACAGCCUCGGGGGUAGCCGCCACAACUGCAGCCUUGGGGGGAGCAGAAGUACUCGGUUUUGCAUCCUUGGUGGGAGCUGGGUCUGGCGGUGAAGGCUUAAGGUGGGGAGGUGUAUUAUGCUUCAAUUUUAAAAGUAUCUGCCUCAUCCUUGAAAGCUCGGUUGGCUUUCCAGGCUUUGGACCUUGGACAACGAGAAUGGAUGGCUUCUUUUCCGUAUCCUUCUUCCCUAUCUUCUUCUCGAUUGCUGGCACCUCAUUGGGGAUGAGGUCCGCAAUUGCCUUCCAGUAGUUCUUGUCUACCUCAGCAAUGAAACUUCUCUUGAUUAGCUAGGAACAGCUGAGAAACGCCAAAAUACAAGUUCAAAACAAUGUCAGAAAUGCAUGUUAACUCCUCGCUUCUUCAUACCUUAGAAGUUAGAUGCCAGAGAAAUCGAUAUGGAUAUUAAAGGCAAAGAAACCGCAAAGUUGUGACAAAGUUCAAUUCCAAAAUGUUUAGCUAAAAGGACUAGAGUUCAGAAAACCAUUAACACAACCAAUACUAGUAGCAUUUGUUUUACGAUGAAGCCUAACAGGGAAACAUUGUAAAUUUACAUAGCGAAUCCUAAACAGUUGUGACCAUCACUUUAGUUGAAUUCAGAAAAGUUCAGUCCCAGCAGAGAGAAUAAAAGUUACGAUCUUGUAAAAAGUUAUGAAUAACCAAGCUGAGCGGAUGUCGGGAGCUACGUGUCAACAAUUUGUGGCUCUUCUCCAUCGCCUAUUUCGAUCAAGUAUUCAAUUAUUGAAUGAAUCAGCAAUUCAAAAACGAAAGUUAAAUGAAAUAAACAAACUAUAAGCAUCAGUCGAAAGAAUCUUCAUAUGCAUUCCAACCAAAAACUUAAAAUCGAGGCAGUAAAGUAAGAAAUCGACAUUACUAGAAGAGCUCAUUGAAACAAAAUAUUGUGCCAUGCCGAUCAUAAUUUUUUGGAAAGCUAAUUUGGUCUAACCUUCUCCCUUUCCCUGUUAGCAGCCUUGUUAUUUUCAGUAGUGAUCUUCCUCUUCUGGUAGAAUCCCACCUUGAAUUCAUCUGCUUCCUCAAUUAUUUGAACCAACAACUCCUUUUCUCUCUUCUCCUUCUCCUCGGGAUGAAUCGCAUUCUGCCUGAAUGUCACAAAAGCUUGGAUUAUUAUAACUCCCUUACAACCUCACAGAAUUCAACCAUUUAUUUCUCCCACCACCUUCAAUGCAAACAUAAAAUCACUUUCUGAUAGUCAAUAACUACAAUUUGACAACAAUCACGAAUUUUUUUUGGAUUCGAAUUCAGCUCCGCAAUCUUAUACGAACAAUCGGCACGUUAAAUUCAUAAACAUUUUAACAAGUUUUGUAUUUUUUUAGAUAAACAAUCAAUUUAACAAUUUGUUAUCAGAAAGACGAUUACUGAUCACUAAGCAUGCAAUUCUUGAAAACUACCGAAAUCAAAACAACAACUUCCACUCAAUUUCUCAGCAACAGAAAGAUCAAACCAAAUCAAAACCAACAACUUUCAACUAAAUUGCACAAUAUAGUUCCCUAAGCAAGCUUGCUUAUUUUUCAACUCUUUAACUGAUGUGUGACUUCUAACUGUAAUUUUUCGUAUUUCUUCUUUUAUGUUCUGAUUAUUGAAUUUGAAAUCACUUAAUGAACUGAAAUUGCCAAACCAUGUUAGAGUGUAAUUUUGCGCGUUCCAUUUGAGUUUACAAACAACAUUUACAUUCAUAUGUAUCUUUUGUUCAGUGCCUAUCACCUGUUUGACAAAAUAUACCAGAGAAACACGCACGCUCGCACACACGGUUUUCUCGGUUCUUUGUUCUCUGUUUUUAGAUGUUUCUGGAUUGAGAAUUUCAUGGGUGAAAUGCCUCUGCGCAUUGGGUCUAAAUUGCAGGUGAGAAAACACAGAGAGCCAGCAAAGCUUCGUAGAGAGGAGGCAUGAGUUUCCUAUGAUGGUAAGUCUAUUCCUUCAUUUGGGUAAAGCAUCUUCAUUGUGGUGCAUUUGGCAAAACUCGAGACCCUUUUAUGCAUUUUUUGUUUUGAUUGGUUUGUUGGAUGUCAGCAUGCGGGACGCUUGAGUUUGAGUACCUUUGUCUGUUUCGAUAUGAUUUUCACUUGAACAGUGCAAUUGGAGAUCCUACUUUAGACUAAAGUAAUGUCCUCAAAUAGCACUAUUCCAGUAACAAAUCAACAAUAUCAAUUGGGGUGUGCUAUCCACACACCCCAUUUUACUUCUCACACACCCCUUGAUAAUUUAUGUCCAUUGAUCUUCUUCAAUUCAUCCGAUCCGACGGCCGAAAAUUAAAAAGGUGUGUGAGAAGUAAAAUGGGGUGUGUGGAUAUCACACCCCUAUCAAUUACGGAAGUGAUUUUCACUCUCUUAUUAGCUUCUCACACAUUCUUUAUUAUUAUAACAAAAAAAUUAAAUAAAUUAAACGUAAACAAGGGACAUAAUUAAAUAGGAUUGUGCGUGAGACUAAGGGUCAAUUUGGGAUUGUUGUGCUUUUAAAAAAAAACUGAUUUUGUUGUGUUUUAAGAAUAAUCAGUUGUAAAUUAAAGCAGAUGAACGUUUAGUUAACUGUGUUUUAAAAGUGCUAUGAGUAAGAAAAGCAAUGUAAAAGCAUUGGUAAAUUUUAAUGUAACAGUAAUGUAAUUGUAUACAAUGACAAAAUAGAUAUAGUAGCAGGAGUGGGGAGACAACAGCUGUGGCGAGGACAAUGGUGGUAAUAAUGGUAGUGGUGGUGGUGGUUGCAAUGGUGGUGAUGGUAGCAGGAAUGGAGGUGGUGUUAAUAGCAGGAUGUGGUGGUUGGGGUGUAGAGGUAAUAAUGGUGCUAAUGGCGAUGCUAACAUCGAUGGUGGCAGUUGUGGUUGUGGUGGCAGUGGCGGCGGUUGUGGUUAUAGUGGAGGUAUGGUGGUGGUGCUAAAAGUGGGAUAUGGUGGUUGGGGUGUAAAGGUAACAAUGGUGCUAGGGACGGUGGUAGUGCUAGUGGUGGGAGUGGUGGCGGUUGCAGCUGUGGUGGUGAUGGCAACGACGACAUUAAUGAUGGUAAUGACAAUGGCGGUAGUGGUGGUUAUGGUUAUGGUUAUGGUGGUGGUAAUGAUGUUGAUAGUGUAAGGUUAGUGUUUGUAAUGGUAGGUCAUAACAGUCACUUUAUUCUCUAAGGGAUAAAAUAUGUGUGGAAUGCAAAUAAUGUCAUUCUAAAAAUAUUAAUUAAUGAAGAUAUUACAACCUACAAGCUACUUUUAAAAUUUGUUGUCUAGAAGCUAUUACUUUUAAAAUAAGCAGCAUAUUUUACUUUUACCAAACAUUUUUUUUACUGCUUAGCUUUAAAGUGAAGCAGUUUUUGGUGAAAAAAAAAGCUAUACCAAACGGGGCAUAAAAAUGGUGUGUAUCCCUAUCAACAAUAUCAACAGUAACAUCAUUGUUAUUUAAGAUUUAUUUGUUAUGAAUGUAACGAGACAACAUACAAUCAUAGACGAGACAAUCUUGUCAACAUAUCGAGAUGACAGUGCUCGAGGAUAGUUCUAUUUGAAUUCGUUUUCGUACUUUGAAGUUGGUGGCCACUUUUUUUCUUGAUUCCGGGUUGAAAGCCCGGCAAUUUUUUUUUCAGGGGUCGCUCUUUUAAACCUUCUAACCUCUUGUACAUUUUCUCGUCUCCUUAAUGAAUAUUAUACUUUCAUAAAAAAUGAAAAACAAAGAGUAUUUGCUACGUCACAGAUGCAUCGCAAUUUGCAAGAGUAAUAAUUGUGAGAGUAGAAAACUAGCCAAUUUACCAUUUGCAUUACGGUAGAAAACUAGCUAGUGGAAGACUAGCUAACCUUCCACUAAGGUAGAAAACUAGCUAAUGAGUCUUACAGUUUUACUUUCUACCUGGGCCGAACAUUUCAUAACUAACGUGUAAGUCCCUUUCUGCUUUCUAUGAUAAUUCUCUUUGUUUUAUUUUUUAUUAUUCAGUUUUGUUCUUUCACCAGAGGAUUUUUUUCAGUGUGCCGGAAAUAUAGCUCGGUACACGUGUAACAAAACAAUGGUUGAUUUUCUUGACAUGGCUUUCUAAAUACCUAAUUAAGAAGAGUAAUGCUACACUUAGUCAAAUUCUUAGAGAAAUUUUGCUACAUUAGUCUCCAGGGUGUGGGAGCAGGCAUAUCCAGAUUUGUCUGUAGGAAAAUAUGAAUCAAAUUCUUAGAGAAAUUAUGUGCAUAUCAGCAGUGGCGGAUCCAGGAAAUAAUGUUUGGGGGGUCAACAAGGAUAGCGCGCACAUCGCGAAAUUUUUUUUUAACAGAAACAGCAUGCAUAUCGUCAUUUCAUCGGAUCUUGGUAGGAUAGCGUGAUCAGCCUCUCGCCGAUAGUUACCAUACUAAAAGGUGCCUUCACUUUCCCUAACAACCAAAAAUAAACAUAAAAUUGGGUUGGAUGGUUCAUAAUAAACAUAAAUUCUGAUGUCAAUAUGGUGGUUCAUAAUAAUAUUUUUUAGAGAUCAUAUUAAUUUAUGUUGAAUAUAAAGAGAAAUAAAGUUGUUAAAUAUGUGGAUGUGGAAAGGGCACACACAUCAUUACCAUUAAUUUAUGUCAAAUAUGUGGAUGUGGACGCAUGGGAACUUUGCAAUCUGCACCAAGACUUAAUGGUGACAUCUUCAACUUGACACACGAACCGAACUGACAGCCUAUGGCUUUUUACACAAAGCAAGCAAUUUGAUGCUAGCUGUACAAAUUUGAUUGGAGAGAAACUAAGAAAAAAAAUUAAAUAAGAAGAGUGUGGUCACGUGGUGUGAAAUAAAGAGAGAGAACGUCUUCGUCUUCGUCUUCCUCUUCCGCCAAACCGAACGAAAACCAGAAGAAACCCAGAAAAAUGCAACAGCUCCUAGAGGUCGCACCAGCAGCUUUAAGGGGUCGCACCAGCAGCUCCAAGGGACCACUAAGGUUAUUUCCAUGGCUUCCAAGGGGUCGUGCGACCCCAUUGACCCUAUUGUGGCUCCGCCUCUGCAUAUCAGUAUAGUUUGACAAAUCAAAGCUAAAAACCGCGUUGCUCCAAUUUUCUUUCUAUUGACUAACGAGCCUGUGAUGUCUAUUAAUUCCCUAGUCUUAAAUCUAACAGUGACGGGCAUUUAUUUGCCCUGACAGACUAUCAAAGCUGUUUGUCGUGUUCCCUAGUCCUAAUCUACCCGCUGUGCAACCCAAUUCGGACCCUGAAAUUGACUCCAUUCUUUGCGUCAACCAACAGUUACAUAAAUAUCCAGAGCUUCAUUUUGCAGCCUUGCUAAAAUGGAGUUCUCAAGUAUUCAUAUUAGCAUUUGGCUUAUUUUCAUCCAACCACUCUUUCUUCUCUUUCUUUUUAGCUCUGCCUCCUCCUCCCGUUUAGCGGGAAAUGAGGUGGAUAGGCUUUCCCUGCUUGCCUUCAAAGCUGAAAUCGUGACCGAUACCCUCGGCAUCCUUAGCCCUUGGAAUGAAUCCCUCCACUUUUGUCAUUGGCCAGGCAUCACUUGUGGCCACAGACACCAGAGGGUUACGGUGCUCGACCUCCAAUCAAGCAGGCUGGCAGGCCACCUAUCUCCCCACAUUGGAAACUUGAGCUUUUUGAGGGCUUUAUACCUCCAGAACAAUAGCUUCAGCCACACCAUCCCUCCAGAAAUUGGUCGUUUGUUCCGCUUGGAAGAACUAUUCCUUGAUAACAACUCCUUCGGUGGUCAUAUUCCAUUCAACAUAUCACGUUGCUCUAACCUCCAAUACCUACGCUUAAAUGGCAACACUCUUAGUGGCGAACUUCCAACUGAAAUUGCCUCAUUGUCCAAGCUUCAGGUACUUGGUUUAGGCAAGAACAAUUUUUACGGGAAAAUCCCACCUUCUUUUGGGAAUCUUUCUUCUCUUUCGAGGCUAUCUUUGCCUCAAAAUAAUCUCCAUGGAGGUAUUCCAAAUAGCCUUGGCCAGUUGAAAGGCUUAACGGGUUUUUCACUGGCUAUGAAUUAUUUGAAUGGUACCAUCCCUCCCUCCAUAUACAACCUCUCGUCAAUUCAAAUCAUUUAUAUGUUUCAAAACAACCUUCGUGGAACUCUUCCACCUGGCUUGGGCCACACUAUAUUUCCAAACCUCGAAACAUUUGUUUUCUAUGCCAACCAAUUCACUGGAUCAGUACCAGCUUCAAUCUCCAAUGCCUCAAACCUUUCAAAAUUUGAUAUCGCAUUCAAUAAGUUUACUGGAAAAGUGCCUAGUCUGGCACGCCUGUCAAAUUUGUCUUGGUUUGAACUUGAUGAAAACAAUCUUGGAAAUAAUGAGGAAGGUGACUUGGAUUUCAUCUCUUCUCUAGUUAAUUGCACCAAUUUAGAAGUGUUAUCUAUCGGUACCAAUAAUUUUGGAGGAGUGCUGCCUAAAUCUAUCAGCAAUCUCUCAACAAAGCUCAAGGGAAUAUAUUUAUAUGAGAAUCAGAUACGCGGAAGCAUUCCCGUCGGGGUUGGAAAUCUUAUCAACUUGGAGAGACUAAGCUUUUAUGCGAAUUUAUUGGCAGGCACUAUACCGAGUUCAAUAUGUAAACUGAAUAAGCUUUAUGGCCUAGAUCUACAAGCCAAUGAACUGUCAGGUAAUGUUCCAUCAUCUCUAGGAAAUCUAACUUCAUUAAGCAAUUUGUAUCUCCGGUCAAACAAGUUAAAUGGAAGCAUACCACAAAGUCUCGGAGACUGCAGGUUUUUGAUAUAUUUGGAUCUUUCCCACAACAAUCUUAGCGGUCCAUUUCCAAAACAAGUCAUCAAUUUACUUGUUCACUUGAAUCUAGCUAGAAACCAACUUACUGAAUCCAUUCCCUUGGAAGUAGGUAACUUACAGCAUCUUGUUUUCUUGAAUGUUUCUGAAAACAAGUUAUCUGGUGAGAUUCCACAAAGCUUAGGGAGUUGCACAAGUUUGACGACUCUGUCUCUGAGAGAAAAUUUAUUGCAGGGGACAAUUCCUAAAUCCUUGAGCUCUUUGAAAGGAAUUGAAGAUUUUGACCUCUCUCACAACAAAUUGUCUGGCAUAAUUCCCAACUACUUGGGGAGUUUCCCCUUCUUGCAUAAUUUGAACCUCUCAUUUAACGAUUUUGAAGGCGCAGUACCAAUCCAAGGAGUUUUUAAGAAUGCAAGUGCGGUAUCUGUUGUGGGAAACACACGGCUUUGUGGAGGUAUACCUCACUUAAGAUUGCCUAAAUGCAUCUCCAAGCAAUCUAAGCGCGGGUUAUCUCCUAAGAUGAACUUAAUUAUCUCAGUUUCCUGUGGGGUUGUCGGCUUGGUCUUGGUGUUGUUACUUGCUCUUCUUUAUCGAUCAAGAAAGGCUAGAGCGCUCAAGUCAACUUCAGGAUCAUCACUGGGGGUUUCACUCUUGAAACUGUCCUAUGGAGAUCUCCUCAAAGUAACUGAUGGGUUUCUCUGCUUUGAAUCUGAUUGGUUCUGGAAGUUUCGGGUCCGUAUACAAGGGAGUUCUCAAUCAGCAUGAAGAAAUAAAUGUUGCGGUGAAAGUACUCAAUCUUCAAACUUCAAGAGCUUCUAAAAGUUUCAUAUCUGAAUGUGAAGCCUUGAAAAGCAUUAGGCAUCGAAAUCUUGUCAAGCUACUGACUGCUUGUUCAAGCAUUGACUUUCAAGGAAACGAAUUCAAAGCCCUGGUGUAUGAGUUCAUGGUGAAUGGAAGCCUAGAUGAGUGGCUGCACAUAUCAGCUCAAGAAGUAGGUAGGCCAGCCAAUCUGCCAAAGAAUCUGAAUCUCACUCAAAGAGUUAACAUUGCCAUCGAUGUAGCGUAUGCUUUGGAUUAUUUGCACAACCGCUCCCACAUGCCAAUAGUUCAUUGUGAUAUAAAGCCCAGCAACAUUUUGUUAGACAAUGACAUGACUGCUUGUGUUGGUGAUUUCGGUUUAGCAAGGUACCUCCGGGAUGCUUUUUGCCCAUCUCCUUUGCACGAGAGCAGUUCCAAUGUCAUAAAAGGCACCAUAGGCUAUACUCCCCCAGGUAAAUUUUCUUUUGUAUAUAUUUUAUUUGUGCUUCCAGUAUGGUUUUGCAUAUAGCAUAAGUUUUUUGAAGUCACACAUAAGAACAAAGCUAUGUUUUUGUGCAUAUAACUUAAGAGUAUGGAAUGGGAGGCGAGCUGUCAACAUAUGGCGAUGUGUAUAGCUACGGAAUACUGUUGUUGGAGAUGUUAACUGGCAAGAGGCCGACAGAUGACAUGUUUAAAGGUGGUAUGGACCUGCACAAUUUUGUUAUAACGGCUCUACCAGAACGUGUGGGAGAAAUAUGUGAUCCACUACUUGUUCAAAUAGAAGAAAGCAGCAGCAGUACUAAUCCCAGAAGUAAUAGGGGGAAUCAUGCCCCAAAUGAUCAAAGAAAAAGGGUUGUGGAGUGCUUGACUGACAUUGCAAGAGUAGGAGUUGCUUGUUCUGUAGCGACGCCGAGAGAGCGAAAGGACAUGAGCAAUGUGGUAGCUGAAUUGAGUCUAAUAAGGGAUGUGCUAACUGGAACUAGGAUGACCAGAGAGAAUCUGUGAUGACGACCUAAGUAGUGAGUAAUAAUACCCUGUUAUCAUUAAAUAAAAUCCCAUGACAGUGCUUGAAUUUUGCAUGGUGAUCUUCUGAUUGAUGACGAGGAGGACUGGAACAAGUGAAGUGGAUUUUCCCGUUUUGCAAUUUCAUUUUGUAUGUUUUGUGAAUGAUCUUAAUUUGUAAGAUCAUCUUUAUGUUUGCUUGGAAAUUUGAAAUUUGUCAAUUUAAGGUUGGUUCAUGUUCUUAUAAUUAAAUUAUGCAAUUUUAAGUUUAGAAUUUGUCAAUUCAAGUUUGGUGUGUGUGUAUAUAUAUGUAUGUAUGUAUGUAUGUAUGCAUGUAUUCAAGCCUUUUCGUACACAGCCUGCAAAAAUAAACGUUAAGCGCACCUCUUGCAUUGUUAAUAAAUUUACUCAUUGCUCAUUUGGUGGUUUUGGUAGCCCAAGUAUCAGGCCGGGUAGGCAGAGAAAUCUUAUUUUUGGGAGUUUGGUUAGGGCGUGUUUGGUAUCGUACUUAAAUGUUUUCAUAAUUUUUUAAAAUAUUUCUUAAGAACAUCUUUUAAGAACAAUUUUAUUUAAGAUUCAAGAACUUGUUUGGUAUGAGAUUUAAAAUGGUUUAAAAAAAUUUAAUUAAAAAUAAAAGGAAAAAAACAAACCUACAACAACUCCCGGUGGGUUCGAGCAUUACUACUAAUUUAAUUAGAUAGAUAGAGAGAUCAAAAGAGAGGGUCGCAAGCAAGGGUGAGAGAGAAAGAGAAGAGAGAGAGCUUAGAGAUGGGCGUGGAUCUCGGGCGGGUUGGGCGUGUUGCAUGGUCAAACCAACCCUAACCCAACCUUUACAAUUUGGGUUGGGUUUGGGUUCAUACGGGUGUAGUCAGGUUCAGGUUUGAAGUAGGUUUAGAUUUAUUUGGAUUGGGUUCGGAUUUGCCCAUGGAGUUCAACCUUAUAACACAUUAUUUUGCAUAACUAUUCAAAUUUUGAACCAAAAAGCGUCAAUAUUAGUUAAAAUUUCAUUUACACAAAAGUUAAAACAAACAACUUAGAGAUCUUACCUCUCUUAAAGUAUUAUCUGUAGCCAAUUUUUGCAUGGAGAUAAUCCAAAUAGCUUGGGACAGUGUUGACCCUAAAAUCUACCAAGCCUACGUGGCGCGCAGGCCGAGUAUAUUCUAAGCUAACUACGUCCUUCGGUGAUUGCGGGGCGUGCCAACUCGUCGGCCGAGGCUCGGCCGAGGAGUAAAUUUGAUGAUGUUGCGUUGGGUCGCGCUACUGACUUCUGCGUCUUGCGAUUGCGGCCGAGAAAGGAACACGUCUCGGCCUCUUGGGUUCUCGAGCCUGAAGACAAGGCUGCUAUUUCUUACAAAGUUCACGAACCGAAUUCGGCUUUCAAUGUGCCGAAUGUAAUAACUGUGACACCUCACCUCGCCGAGAAGGCUAAUGAGAUGACCUCGACCAACAAGGAUUCGAAAACCCUUCUCGACCGAGACUUGGAUAGGUAAUCGACCGUUCUCGCCGCAGUGCUGUUGAUGCCAACGGAAGAUACUGCGAGACCGACCAAUUCUACGGUGACAGAGCUAUCUAUGCCGACUUAAGAUAUCACCGGUUGCUUCCACAGUGCUGUUGAUGCCAACGGAAGAUGUGUCAGCGAAAAAGGAAAAGAAAAAGAUCUCAAGUUGUGAGAGUUUGCGCAGGGCAAUUUUGUGUUGAUUUUGUCGGGCGUUUCCUGAUGCACAGCUUCCGCUAUUUAUAGCACUGGACCCCGAAUCUGAGAUAGAAUCCUAUUCGGACUAGGUUUUCCCUCUCCGGAUCAAUAUCACCUCGACCAGUCCUGUUUUCAUUAGGAUUGUGAACCUAGUCCUUAUUCGAGCCCUAUCCGCUUCUAGGCUGUUAAUCCUGCCGAGAAUCCCUAUUGUAUCAGGACUCGGCUUGUCAUUGCAUUUUGACCUAACCGGCCUAGGUUUGGAAGCCCAUAAGCUGAACGAUCCAUGGUCUUCUUGUCGCAAGGCCUUCCGGGCCGAGAAUGGUUCUACACUCGGCCCAAACUAUUAUUUUGGGCCCAAACAUUGCCCCCUCGCUUCUGAGGUCCUCGGCCUGCAAUCUUCGGCCGAGUUCCGGCCUUGAAGAAGCGAAUCUACCACUCAGAAUCCUCAUACCCGAGUUCCAAGGCGCAUUUAUUGAGCACGAUCGCACGAUCUUGAUCCUGCUAACCUACUCACCACGUGGCGUCCUCUAAUAUGGCCAAUCCCACAUAAUGACGUCUAAGGCGUGCGGCAGCCUGAACUGUCUUGCCAUCAUGACCACUAUCUCAAUCCGAGCCACUACCUCAGUCCGUGAGCCCAUUUGUCAUCGUGCGGUCGUCGAACCGUCUUUUCGUCAUUAAUUUAGCCGUCACACGCAAUCGUGCGCCCCCAAAACCCUAAAACCUUCGGUCUUCUCAACCGCAUUUCCCAAAUGUUCAUCAUGAUCAACAAUUCCUUUGGUCGAUUUUGCCCUUUGUUUUGAAUUUCGAACGAUUGCUCUUCCCCCCACAACUCUAUAAAUACCGAAAUUUCCUCAUUUGUACUUUUACGCUCUCAAACUUCCCAAAAUUCUCUGCCAUUGAUUUCUAGUGCCUCUCCUAUUCCGAGUCUUCGUCUUUAAAUCCCCAACCCAGAAAAACCCUUUUACUCCGUGCUUCUUUUUCAUAAUGGCAUCCUUCAUCUCCAAGCUUUCCAGGGAAUGUGACCAACAUCCGAAGAUCCUUGAUCGGAGCUCGAUCAAGACCAUCCGGUUUGAAAACGACAUGAACACCCAGUACCAAAUCCUGGGUCCUCUCUUCAAGGCUACAAUACCGCCGACUAUCAUCGGCCUUCUACAGGAGCACUGCCUAAAACCCUUGCUUCGAGGGUUUGAAUGGUCGCGAUGGGAUGCGGCUAAACCCCAGGGCUCCUGGCCCUCGACGACCACAUCCUGGGCAGCCUGGGUCGUUCGAAUGGAACGACUCUUCGGCGAGCAAUGGAAGGCCCUUGGCAUCUACGACGCCAUCCUCCUUUCGUCCAUGGAAAUCGUCCCCGACAAGGAACUUCUCCAAGCCGCUCUGUGCUUCUGGUGUUCGGCUACCAACACAAUGGUCCUUCCUCUGGGUCCCAUGGGUCCCACCGUCCUGGAUAUUACUGCCAUUCUGGGGACUUCGGCGACCGGGAUCCCUGUCGACGCGACCCUCUCUGGGCAUCCGUCGAAUAUCGACCUGAAAACGCUCUUCGACCGUCGGGCCUUCGAGACCUUGAGCCGUGACGGUCAUAUCCCGUCGAAGGAAGAUAUUCAGAAGCUCCACAAGAACUUCUGUAAUUACAAACACCCUCUAUCUUCACUUCGCCGGCCGAGGAGAAGAGGACCUGCGAGAGGAGAGCAUGAAGCUUUCCUCUUCUACUGGUACAACAAAUACAUUUGUUGUACCAAGUCAAACAAGUGUUUGGUCGAGAACAUGCCGGUAGCCGAAGCCCUGGCCAGUGGUCACGUCUUGGCGCUGAGUUCCAACAUUCUCGCCCAACUUUUUCCGCUGCCUGGCCGAGGCGACCCUCCAAAAGGUCGACCCGCACCAGAAUGGUCCUCUCUGGGUCUUCCAACUCUGGUUGCAGGUAUACUUCACCUCCAUUCGGCCGGCCAUAGCCGAAUUCUCACCAACAGAGGCGCUUGGGUCUCAAUUGGCCUCUCGACCGACACCUCCCCAUCAAGCCGAAGAGGUAUUUUCGGUACCUCUUCGCCCUCGACGACUUCUCCAACGACGAGUUCCUAAUAUGUCGUCGUCGAGACUAUCCUUCCUCCAUCAGGCUGCCUAUCUCCUCAUGGAGCGCGGAGGAGGACGCCGAUCUCCGUCAGACCUGGGGGGUCGUUUGUGCUUGCCCGCGACCUCCCUCUCGGCUGCGAUGGGAAACGGUCAGGAUGGGAAGUAUAUCAUCCGAACUUCCUCGCCCGACAGCUCGGCUACCUUCAGGGCUGCCCUAUCCCCCUUCUCUUCUCCCGAACGGUCCUAAGCCGUGGACGCGAACCUCGUUCCUCUGAGAAGGAAUGUAGAAUCGCCGUGAAGGAGUUCCAAGAGCGCUGCCAAAAAUUCCGCCUUCGACCAGCCACCCCGGAAACCCAAUGCACUGACACCUUUGGUGAGUGGUGGGAGCAAUACACCCAGGAAUUCUUUGGUGCGCCGGUCGAAGACGUGCUUAGCAGACUCUUUGGUGACCGGCCUAAGAAGGCCUCGGCCCCUCAUCCUCAAGGUACCGGUUUCAUUUUCUUCCUUUCCAUCAACCUUGCAUAUUGAGUUGCCUUACUGAGUUGUCUUUAUCUUUUUAGGUAGUCGGCCUUUGAGAAAGACGGAGGCAGUUGCCGCUGCCACGACCGGGAAAAAAAUCGGUCGUGGCCCAAAAGGACAAACCCGCUGGUAGGGCCGUGCUGAUCAAACGGCCUCGCCAAGAGGCCGAGCCGGCUGUCGAGCCUUCCCCGCCAGCCAAGCGGGUCAAACAAAAUGGCGAAGAAGGGUGCCCGGGAGAUCCACGUUAUCUCCAGUCACACGACGACUCCCAGUGCUUUCUUCUCCCGCCGCCGGCCAUUCUGGGGUCGAGACACAGCCGGCCUCGGCCGCAGAGACGGCCCCAGCGCGGCCUGCCUCUGUGGCCGGCGCAUCAGUUGUACCUCCCUCUGCCGAGAAGGCACCUGUCUCUCAACAGGCGGGUUUCUACGACCGAGGGAAACUUCUCCCAAGAAUCCAAAGCCCUCGGUCCUUGUGUUGGACGAAAGCGAGGGGAGCGACGAGGUCCCGCUGGCGCACCGUCCUCAUACUCGUCGACAACCUCCUCCAAUACCCGAGAUGGCGGUUCAAACCGGUCCCUCCCCGGUUAAUCGUGGCAAGCGCACGGUCGAGGAACCGAUCCCGGUGGCCGAACCUCUAGUUCCUUCUCAGGACCAGGGCGUCCCUGCCUCCUCUGAAGCAGCUGCGCCAGUCGGCCCAUCGGCAGCCGACCGGGGCAAACGGCUGCUCGAGGAACCCGAGGCUACGGCGGAAUCGCCGGUCCAUCCCCAAGACCAAGGCUUCCAUAUUCCUCCACAGGAGGUUACCUCGGCCUUUGUAAGUACCUUCACUCGUCUCCUCCUGAUUACUUUUCCGCUUUAGACCUCUAAACAAAGAAAAAACCAAAUGUCAGGUGCCUAUACAUUCUUUUCACCGUCAAUUCUAUGCGCCGAAGGGUUCUAUAUUUCCUGCGCCUCAGUUCCCCACUCAACUAGAAUUUGUCAAGCAUCAUAUUCAGUUUGGCACAAAAAGUUUUGGGUAAUAGGAAACGUUGCAUCGAAUACAUUGCAAGAAUUGAGCCACGGUCUUAACUAAAAGUUCUCUCCCAGCGGUGCUUAAUAAAUCCCCACACCACCCUGAGAGCUUUUCCCAAAUUCUAUAUGCAAAUGUUUGUUUCUUUGAUUUCCCGAUGAAAACUGGAACUCCUAGGUGCUUAUCAUGAUGAGUCACUGGUUGUACUCCCAAGCAAUCUGCCAACACUUAUUAAUCAACCUCCGUAAGAUUGGUGCUGAAGGCCACACUUUUUUCAAAGUUCACCGCUUGUCCAGAAACCACUUCAUAGGUUGGUAGCAAUUGCCUAACAUGCACACACUCAUCCAAACUUCCCCGAGCAAACAAAAAACUAUCAUCAGCAAACAAAAGAUGAUGGGCACUUAGAGCCUCUUUGCAAAUCUUGAUCCCAUGUAGUUAAUCCAUAGCUUCACUUUUACGUAAUAUUCCCGACAAACCCUCAUCAGAAAUGACAAAUAAGUAUGGGGACAAUGGAUCUGCUUGUCAAAGACCCAGCUUUGGACGUACAAAACCCACUGGAUCACCAUUGACUUUGAAUGAAUAAGUAACUGUAUUAAUACAAACCAUUAUCAAGCCGAUCCAAACCUCUGAGAACCUCAUCUUCCGCAUAAUUGCUUCCAAAUAAUUUCCACUCCAAACGAUGGUAAGCCUUGCAAAUGUCCAGUUUCAAUGCCAUAAUACCAUUCCACCCGGAUGUUUUCUUAUGCAUAUAAUGGGCAAUUUCGGCUGCCACAAGGCUAUUAUCCAAGAUAAGUCUUCCAGGAAUGAAAGCACUUGAUUCGGGGAUAUUAUGCAGAAGAAUACUCUUCAAACGAUUUGUAAGAACCUUGGCAAUGAUCUUGUAUAGAAUGUUGCAAAGGCUAAUGGGACGAAGAUGUUUCAUUUCAGUUGGGUCCUUUACUUCAGGAAUUAACGUUACAUGCAUAUAGUUAAUCUUAAAAAGCAUGCGUCCUAACUGAAUCAUAGACCGAAUCCCAUUGCACACAUCCCGUCCAACAAUCUCCCAAUGCUUUUUUCUUGCUGCUUAAAACCAUAAUAUUCUUCAUCAACCCCAAAUUUACUUCCUUGCCCAACAUCAUGGGCCUACAAACCACCCCAACUUCAUUUCUAAUUCACCAAAGAAGAAACAUGCUUUAAAUGAGCUCCAAAUAUACAGGUAGUACACCAUAUGUUUUAUAUAAGCAGUGAGAAAUUUUAUUUUCAAGUUAAUAACUUUUUAACACACAUAUACCACACGUGAUGUACCACUCCAUGUACCGGUUACACUGAAAAAUCUCUCCUCAUUAGGAGUGAUAUGCAUGCAUCCAAUAGCAUUUACACCACCAUAUCUCGCCUCAUUUACAGGUAUUCCCAACAUCGGACAUCCCUAGAUUCACGAAAUGAAGACUGAGACCUCAAUCGAUACGCAAUCAGAGCCCUAACGUCCAUUGACUCUUCCUACUCCCAUUAUUGCCUCCUCAUUCAAACCAGGAAUCAAAGGUCCUCGAUUUUCAAAUGUCCGCAUAAAUAAGCGUGUGGGGUAGUCAUUUGUGGGAUGGUUUUGAAUUAGAGUGGUUGUUUAACUCUCUGGCUUCUGAUGUAAACAUUUUGAUUCAUAUUUAAUAAUAUCUAUUUUUCAAAAAAAAAAAAGCCUUUAUUUAUUUAUCUUCCAGUUAUAGAGUAAAAGGCAAUUCCCAUGAUUGGUUCUAAAAAAAUUUGGAGCAUUUGUACUCGGAUUUGGAUCCGCUUUGGACCUUAGUGUCUGGAGCCUCCUCAUCCACAAAUCUGGGUCGCUGAUUGAUUUGCAAAUUAAAUCAGGGUUAUUGGUUGUGUAUGUUAUGCUUUGGCCGGUCAAUGCGAAACCAAACUCGGAUUAUCUCACCAAAAUACAAACCCACAGUUGAACAUUUUAAAAUACAAGAAAUAAAGACACUGAGAGAAUUACGAGGUUCAGCAAAAUCAUGCCUACGUCCCCGGAGAGAUAUUGCUCUUCACUAUGAGAAUAACUAAUACAAGAUACACUUGAGUUUAAUCGACAUAACCCAAACCCCAAUCCCCUGUACACGCGCACAAAUUUUUCCCAAGAGCCUCACUCUACCCCCAAGAGUUUCUCACUCUCGCUCUCUAUUUUCUCUCCUUUGUGUUCUCCUCCGGAUGCUCACACAAUGCAUAACUAUUUCCUUCACUUAUAGUCAUGCACCAACAAUUAUGCCCACAACCAAGACCAAGAAAAUCUUAAGUUCACAUGGCAUAUUCAACACCCUUUUCUAUACCUAGCCUAUAGAGUACAACUUUUUCUCCAUUUGCCAUUUAAUGCAUAAAAAAUAAAAACAUGCACAAUUGCAUGCAAGCAAAACACAAAGUCAAGACUUGCUUGCUUCCAACUUUGCUUGUGGCAGUCACCAUGUCUUCCCUUGAAACAAGACUUCCAUGCCACAACCGAAAGCCAAACACAAAGUCACAAACGGCUGCUGCCAUUUCCAUGUAGCAUUAAGAAAGUUAUACUAUCAAAAUUGUUGCCAACUCAUAAGUAUAUGAGCCAAACACAACAGUGUGUGGUGAGCCAGGAAAAUGAAUUAAAGGAGACCGUUGGAUUCAAUUUGCCGGCCCAGAUUGAUGGAUGAGGAAGUUCCGAACACUUAGGUCGGAGCGGAUCCAAAUCCUUUAUCCUCACCACCAUAGACUAUAUAGUGUAUGCGCAUUGCUUACCAUAUACCUCAUCAUUUGUAACGUGUUUUUUCAUCUAAUUCUAGUUAGCUUUUACAUAAAAUAUUUCUUUUUUAAUUUUUUUUUAAAUUAAUCCGAAUUAAGUGAAAAAACACAUGACAAAUGAUGAUGUGUAUGAUGAGCAUAUAGUGAGAAAUGGAUGAUAUACCCUUUUUUUUUUUUUUUUUAGGAGAACGAAAUGGAUGAUAUAAAUUGGAACAUCAUAUGCGGGACGACUUUCCGGAAGUAUUCUUAUGAAGUCAACUUUCCAGAACAGUUUUGACUGGNAAAUAUAGCCUCUCCGGCCGGCAUCAUUGUCUUGCGCGAGGAGGCAGCCGAUAGAUUCUUCGGCCGCCGAGAUAUAGAGCUUCAGAGGUUUACCACGCCGAGGGGAACUAUGACAGGGGGUUUCGUGAGGGAUACUUUGAUCUGUGUAAACGCCGCCUGAUGCUCGCCGUUCCACACGAAUUUAUCCGAGUCCUUGAGUUUCAAAAGCGUGGAGAACGCUUUCAUUUUACCGGCCGAGUUAGCAAUAAAUCGGCGGAGGAAAUUGAUCUGGCCAAGCAAGGACUGGAGUUGUUUCUUCGUCGUUGGGGGUGGGGCAUCGACGAUUGCGCGUGCUUUAUUCGCAUCGACUUCAAUUCCACGGUGAUGCACGAGGAAACCAAGGAAAUUUCCGGCCGACACGCCGAAAGCACAUUUGGCAGGAUUCAUCUUGAGGUUGUGCUGACGCAUGCGGAGGAAAGCCUGUCGGAGGUCGUCCAGAUGUGUCCGUCGGCGUUUAGAUUUGAUGACAACGUCGUCGAUGUAAACUUCGACGAUGGUUCCGAUUAAGUCGUGGAAGAUGGUGUUCAUCGCUCGUUGGUAUGUGGCGCCGGCAUUUUUGAGGCCGAAUGGCAUAACAACCCACUCGUAAGUACCGAGUGCCCCCGGGCAACGGAAAGCAGUUUUAUGCACAUCGGCUUCGGCGAUGAAUAUUUGAUUGUACCCAGCAUGCCCAUCCAUAAAGGAUAACAUCUCAUGAUUUGCCGCGGCGUCGAUUAACAGGUCUGAAAUCGGCAUUGUAUACUCAUCUUUGGGAGUUGCCAGAUUCAGAUUUCUGAAAUCGAUGCAUAUGCGCAGUGCACCAUUUUUCUUUAAAACAGGAACGAUAUUCGCCAACCAUUCAACAUAUCGAGCUGUCCGAAUAAACCCGGCUUUCAAAAGCCGAACCAGCUCGUCCUUGAUGCUGAGUUGCACUUCCGUCGAAAAUCGACGCGGUGGCUGACGGAAAGGUUUACAUCCGGGCUUAAUACGUAACUCAUGCUCGACAAGAGUACGAUCUAAGCCGGGCAUCUCAUGGUAGCUCCAAGCAAAGCAAUCUUUGAACUCCGUAAGCAAGGCACGAAGCUCAUCUUUCAUUUGUUGGGGAAGUAAAGCACUAAUAAACAAAGGCCGUGGGUCAUCGGCCGUCCCAACAUUAAUCUCUUCCAGAGGAUCCUUAACUUGGGGCCGAUGGUCUUCGAGCGCGGCCGGGGCGGCUUGAAUUUUAUCAAGAGACAAAACAGGACCACUAUCUCCUUCGGCCAGGAACUCGACGAGGUUAACGCCCGAAUUUGGCUGUUUAGAUAUAGUAUACCAAUGGGCCAGCAGUCGUUCCAUAGUAGAUGAAACCGCGGCCCUACGUGCUUCUCGAUCGGUGUCAGACAUCGGCCUCGGGGAGGAAAUUGGCUAAUCCGAGUCUCGCCGAAUCCUGGUGGACAGUCUCGGCGCCAACCUCGAUAGCUUUCUGUACAGAAAUCCGAGUCGGCCGGCCUUCAUCAUUGAAGCCUUGCAAAGUAAUGUAGCCGACGUGGUCAUCAUAAUACCGUGCUUGGAUCAUGUUAGUUUCAAAGGGCUGGUUAUCGGCUGGGUGAACAGUGACCGAUUUGCCGUCCCAAAAAACAAGCACUUGAUACAAUGAGGAAGGAAUACAACUGGUUUGAUGAAUCCAAUCUCGACCGAGCAGUGCAUUAUACUCGGUUUUAGAAUCAACUACAAAAAAAAACGGUCAUGUGAGUGCGACCGGCAAUAGUCACAGUUAACGGAAGUACACCCUUGGUUUGCGAUUUGUCGCCGACGAAACUACUCAUUGUGAUCCCUGACGGAAUAAGUUCGUCGUUCGAGCGACGCAAGGCCUUCAUGAUGUUCAGAGGCAGGAUAUUGACGGUCGCGCCACAGUCGACAAAAACUUUAGAAACGGGAUAUCCCUCGAUGUGGGCCGUCACAUACAAUGGCUUUAAAUGGUGGAGUGCGGCCGAUGACGAACGAGGAAAUAAUUCGGUCAAAGCGGCCUUCAGACUGUCAUCUUUCGUUGUUGACUCAUCUUCAGCAAUAGACACAAAAUCCACAUGGCCAGUUUCCUCGGCGACUACAUCACCAUCGAGGAAAUUCGGUUGAGCCGUGCUUGAUUGAAAAUCAGCAGGUAACACAUGGACCAUACUAAUUUCCAUGUUAUCCAAGACUGACGGGCCCAUCGGGUUGGGACCCUCCUCGCUAACCUCAUCCCUCGUUUGGUCGACGACUGCGGGCUCUGUUUUUGUCAGAGUUGGACAAAAAGACUCCUCUGUCCCUUCUUCGAGGGUUUGAACCUGCGGUGCUGCUUCGGCAGCUUGUUGGUUCUGUGUGACCGCCGCAGGCGAGGUUGAGAUCGACAGUGUGCUUGGGGUCAGGACCUGCACCUGCUCUUGGUAGUAUAGCCGGGCAUCUCUGGUAUCGAGAUAAGCAUCCAGACGUGCAACACGUGCUACUUCAUCGGUCGUGAGGCCGAAGAGAGAAACCGCCGAAAAUACUUCGAAGUGAUAUCGUAAAUACUGAAGAUCCUCCAUUGAGAAAGGAAGGUCGGCUGCAACGAUAUCAGUGUAUGGGUCGACUUCAAAUCCAAGGACACGGGCUUCUCGUAUGUGCUGGAACCUUGCCUUCAAUCCUGGGUUUUCUGGAUGAUGCGCUCGGCGUCCGGACAAGUCAGGACUAGAUCAAUGGUGUCCUGGCAUGCUUUCGGCAAACCAUACAGAUCGUUGGCCGAAUGUUUCUUAUGGAAUUCGCGCAUAUAUUCUAAAGCCUCCCCAAGGAAUGGUGGAUGCAAAUUCCGUCGAAUUUUAAUCAACGGUUCUUGUAUAGCUGGCUGGGCUAAUUUGCUCUCGGCCUCUUGCCUGAAAUGCUCGAGGCGUGCCUUCAUCUCCCCUGGGCGAAGAAGAAGUUUGAUCCGUUUAUUGGCUUCUUCGAACGUGGUCUCGAUAUCUCGGUCGACCAACCGUUUCCCCUGACCCAACUCUGUCAUAAUAGCUGGAGAUGGUCGUUCAUCACCAGUAGCAACUGUGUCCUUCGGCCGCCAUUUAGGGGCCGAAGUUUCUUGGGCUGCCUGCCGACGGGCCAUGCAAUCUAUCCUCUGGUGCCGGCGUUUCUGGGAUUUGGACAACGCGGUGUAGACGCCUUUCGAAGAAUGAUAUGUGUACCAACGUUGAUCUUUAGGCUCGGGAGGUUUGAAGGUUUUUUGACUCCGCGACGAUUCCGAACUACCAGAAUUACGUGUAUAAUAGUCCUCGUCAUAAAAUGAAGCGCCAAAAUCGAGGCGCCGCCUGACUGAGGAUGUCUCUUCCAUCUUCACUUUUGGGCCGAGCCUAUCAAAAACCCCUUGGUGUCGGCCGAUGCCGGCUGCUUUUUGCUGAAUUGCGGCCGUAGGUCGUUUUGUGAUAGGCGAAGAUGGUUUCUCCUCUGGCUCACUGCCGACCUUCGCUCUACAUUUACUGCAAAAAACCGCCGUCCCACUAUCUUCAUCGGUGCUAUAAUCCUUCAUAGGUUUAACAAUAGCGGGUCCUGUUAAAGCUGUAGGUGGUUUGUUCGAACGAAAAUCGGCCAUGAAACGUGGCCGAGAAUUCUGAGUGCGAAAGUCUUGCGUCGCAACAACUUCGGCCUUCCCUUUUCCUUUGUCCUUAGGUAGGUAUGCAUCGACCAUAUUCACGGUUGCUGUGGGGAAAGGAUCAGCAUCAAUACUCAUCUUCUUCUCUGGAAAUUUCAGUUUUCCAUUAUCAAUCCAGCUCUGGACGUUGUCUCGAAAUACGACACAAUUGUUUGUCGUAUGUUUACUUGAAUUAUGGUAUUUGCAAUACACCUUUCCUUUAAGCUCUUCGGCCUUGGGAAUGUUGUGACCAGGCCGAAGUUUGAUGAUCCUUGCUGACAACAGUUGAUCAAAAAUUGCGUCAGCCUUUGUAAUAUCAAAAGUAUACACUUUUAACGGUUUCAAUGUUCCUUCAGUGGCCGAGCGGCUUUUGACUUCCCUGGAGUCAACUUGAGUCAAGGCCUUGCAAACGUAUGGCUUAUCUAUUACUAUCUCAGCCGCAUCCACACUAACGCAUUCAUCCUCGGUUGACGCAUAACUGACGGUAGGAUUCUUGUAAAUCGUCCCCCGAGACGGAGUUUUCGAAAUCUUUUCCUCGCGGAGCAAAUAAUCAUACUGUUCGACAUGUUGGGCUAAUUCAUACAUAUCCCGAACAUUUGCCCCCAAGAAUUUCUUUUUGUAUUCGACGUCGAGGCCGUUCAAAGCAAGCCGGACGAACUCGACUUCGGGCAAGGGUACUCGGCACCAAUUCCUGGCUGAUUUGAACCUGGUAAGAUAAUCCAUUGGGGACUCAUCUGAUGCCUGAGCCAUCCUUGCUAAUGAAGAAACCGACACCUCCAACCCUGGUCGAUAAAAACUGCUCGUGGAAUUUCUCGACCAACUCCUCCCAGUUUUGGAUGGAAUUAGGAGGGAGAUUGAUAUACCAAGCAAAUGCCGAGCCGGUCAACGAGAAGUUGAACAGCCGUAAUUUAUGGAAAUCACUAUGAACAUCGCCGCAUUGCGCGGUGAAACGAGCCACGUGCUCCAACGAAGACAAGGACGAUUCACCGGCAAAAAGGCUAAAAUCCGGAAUCUUGAAACCUUUCGGAUAUCCGAACGUUUCUAUGUAGGCCGGGUACGGAUGGAUAAACUUAGGAAACUUCGGCCCUUUCUUCAUGGCCGAGUCGAUCAUCCGCUGAACCUCGGUCAUAUCAACAGGUGUUGCUUCGACCCUCUGGUCGAUUCCGUCCGACCUACUAUUUGACCCUCCGACCUUUUCCAAGUCAAUUGGUUUGGGCCGAGCAGGAAUUGGCUCGGCCUGUACCAUUGGUAACGGAUUAUUUCUUGGUGGCAAGCGCUGGAAAGGAUCGAAAGGCCUGCCGUCACUGAAUUUACUAACCAGCAUUUCGAGCAGUCUGGUUUGCUGCUCAGUGGAAUUGAGUAUCACGUCAUGUAGCUUGUCAAUACCUCGGCUAAACGUCUGCUCAACUGACCGAGACUGCUCGUCGAGUCGCUUUCGAAGAAACGACCUUGUUGGUGGGUCAGAUCCUUCACCGCCAUCCUCGUCGCAAUCCUCCACUAUCCCUUCAUUGAGAACACAAGUGUUCCUGUUAGGGAUUUCUAGACUGCGGUGUUGACCGCCGAGAUUAACUUCCCUUUCUCGGUGAGUCGCACUUGUGGACUCAGGUGUCCCGGCGCUAAGGGGAUUCUGCGCCUGUGGCACACUUUGUCCUACGUUCUGAAUCGGUAAAUCGGCUGUUGAUUUUCCCAUAGCUGUUUUCUUUUUUACCGAUCGCGUUUCAAUUGGCAUGAACUUCGUAGUUUUAGCACUGGGUCCCACUGGGCGUGCCAAAAUGUUGACCCUAAAAUCUACCAAGCCUACGUGGCGCGCAGGCCGAGUAUAUUCUAAGCUAACUACGUCCUUCGGUGAUUGCGGGGCGUGCCAACUCGUCGGCCGAGGCUCGGCCGAGGAGUAAAUUUGAUGAUGUUGCGUUGGGUCGCGCUACUGACUUCUGCGUCUUGCGAUUGCGGCCGAGAAAGGAACACGUCUCGGCCUCUUGGGUUCUCGAGCCUGAAGACAAGGCUGCUAUUUCUUACAAAGUUCACGAACCGAAUUCGGCUUUCAAUGUGCCGAAUGUAAUAACUGUGACACCUCACCUCGCCGAGAAGGCUAAUGAGAUGACCUCGACCAACAAGGAUUCGAAAACCCUUCUCGACCGAGACUUGGAUAGGUAAUCGACCGUUCUCGCCGCAGUGCUGUUGAUGCCAACGGAAGAUACUGCGAGACCGACCAAUUCUACGGUGACAGAGCUAUCUAUGCCGACUUAAGAUAUCACCGGUUGCUUCCACAGUGCUGUUGAUGCCAACGGAAGAUGUGUCAGCGAAAAAGGAAAAGAAAAAGAUCUCAAGUUGUGAGAGUUUGCGCAGGGCAAUUUUGUGUUGAUUUUGUCGGGCGUUUCCUGAUGCACAGCUUCCGCUAUUUAUAGCACUGGACCCCGAAUCUGAGAUAGAAUCCUAUUCGGACUAGGUUUUCCCUCUCCGGAUCAAUAUCACCUCGACCAGUCCUGUUUUCAUUAGGAUUGUGAACCUAGUCCUUAUUCGAGCCCUAUCCGCUUCUAGGCUGUUAAUCCUGCCGAGAAUCCCUAUUGUAUCAGGACUCGGCUUGUCAUUGCAUUUUGACCUAACCGGCCUAGGUUUGGAAGCCCAUAAGCUGAACGAUCCAUGGUCUUCUUGUCGCAAGGCCUUCCGGGCCGAGAAUGGUUCUACACUCGGCCCAAACUAUUAUUUUGGGCCCAAACAGACAGUUGAAAAGUUUAUUAUUUCCUUCCAUAUACAACCUCUCUUCAAUAUAAUACUUUUCUGUCACGGAACUCUUCCUCCAGGCUCGGAUCACCCUUUAUUUCCAAACAUAGUAAAUACUGCUUACAAAUUACAAUGGAAACCAAUUUCCAGAAAUGUUUUGGAGGUUUAAAGAUUCAGGAAUUGCACGAGUUUCCAAAACUAUUUGGGAGUUGCAUGAGUUUGAGGACUGUCUCUGAGAGGUAACUUAUCGGAUGGGACAAUUCCUUAAUCCUUGAGUUCUUUGAGAGGGGUUGAAUAUUUCGAUCUUUCUCGUAGCAACCUUUCCGGCAGAAUUCCCAACUAUUUGGAGCGUUUCAAGUUGCAGAAUUUGAACCUCUCAUUACAAUUUUGAAGGUGCAGUAGCAAUGCAAGGAAUUUUAGAAAACACAAAUUUAAUUUCUAACAUGGGAAACACACGGCUAUAUGGCGGUACACCUAAUUUAAGAUUGCCCUUAUGCUUUAUCUAAGAAAGUACUACUUCUUAGGCUGAAAAUAUUCUCUCAAUUGCUUGUGGGGUUGUUGGAUUGAUCGUAGUGUUGUAACUUGUGCUUCUUUUGCCGAUCAAGAAAAGCAAGAGAACUUAAGUCAACUUGAGGAUCUAGGGGUUUCGCUCUUGAAAUUGUCUUAUGGAGAUCUCAACAAGACAAUUCUCAAUCAGCAUAGGAAACUACCGACUGCUUGUUCAAGCAUCGAUUUUCACGGAAACGAGUUCAAGGCUUUGGUUAACUGGUUCAAGGUGAAAGGGAGCCUAGAAGAAUGGCUGAAUCGGUCAAUUCAAAGAGUAAACAUGUCAACCAAUCUGCAGAAGCAUUCAGAUCUUAUUCAGAGAGUAAACAUUGCCAUUGACCUAGGGUCUGCUCGGGAUUAUUUGCACAAUCGCUCUCACAGGCCAAUAACCGAUUAACAUUCUCUUGGACGAUGGCCUGACUACCUGUUUUGGUGAUUUCGGUUUAGCAUGUUAUUUGUCAGAUGCUUCUUCCAUACUUCCUUCACCUGAAAGCUCUUCGAACGGAAUAAAAGAUUUCAUUAAUUUUUUGAAGUUACACUUAAAGAACAUGGCUUUUCUUUUUUGCGCAAAUAAAUUAUAGAGUAUGGAACGGGAAGUGAGAUGUGAGCUUAUGGUGAUGUCUACAGCUAUGGAAUUCUGCUAUUUGAGAUGCUGACUGGCAAGUGGCUGACAGAUGACAUGUUUAAAGAUGGUAUGAACCUACACAACUUUAUCAUGAUGGCUUUGCCCAAAUGUGUGGAGGAAGUAUGUCGUCCACUGCUUCUUCAAAGAGAAGAAAGUAACACUAGCACUAAAGCCACAUACAAUGCGGGAUAUCGUGCCCCAGAUGAUGAAGGACAAAGAGUUGAGGCAUGCUUGAUUUGCGUUGCAAGAAUAGUAGUUGCUUAUUCUGCAGUAAUGCCGAGAGAGCGAAUGGACAUGAACAAUGGCGUAGCUGAAUUAUGUUAAAUACGGGGUUAGCUGACAAGAAACCAAUUGCAGCAAUUAACAAGUUUUUUAUUUUUAGAUAAACAAUCAAUUUAACAAUUUGAUAACAAAUUCUUCAAAACCACAACUUCCACUCAGUUUCUCAGCACCAGAAAUAUCAAACCAACCCAAAACCAACAACUUUCAACAAAAUUGCACAAAAGAAUCAAAAUUUAAUUGCUAUACCCUACCUCCUCCAUUCUCUGAGAGCCAAGCCCUCCUCAGGCAGCAUCUCCGACGGAGGCGGCAAAGUCGGAUCGUCGGACACGCCAAAACCUCCAUCAAAGCCCUGGCCGUUUGAUUCGGCGUAGAUCGACGGAGGAGAGAAGGCCUCCGACGCCGGGUGAGUGGCGAAAGCGUCGUCUACGGCGGAGCCGUGGAGGAUUGGGGAAUACGUGGCGGAGACCCUGAGCGACUCGGAGUCGACAAAGGAGUCGAAUCACUGGGAGGAGGGUCUGGGGUCGUAGCCAACCGUCGUCGUCGAACGGGCGAGUUGAGCCGGUGGUCGGGACCUAGUCGUCUUCGGGCUGAGGGAACGAGGCCAUGAUGCACUGAUGAGCGAAAUGCUCCCAAGGGCAAAACUCACGCAGGAAGAAUAUCGGCACGCUUUAUGUUAGGCUGGGCCGACUCACUGGGCCUUCAUUUGGUCCCUGACAAUAUCUGGUCCAAUGUUUGAAUUCACUUCCCUAGAGCCCGCUUCCGCUCCUCGAUUCGCUACCCAGAAGAUCAAGUUCUCAAGGUUCGAUGUUUCCUCUGAACUUCUU